CACAAAGUUCUGUGUUUCUUUUUCUCUUUAGUGUCCACAAGUUCAUGCAUGCUUGAUAGCUCUCUUUUCAGAUUUUAUUUCCAAACUCAUAUGAAGACUUCGGCGCAUUAAUAAUCUUCUUUGAUAGAGUCACUCCUCGCAUUUAUCAAGACUAUAUUCUUUAGUUAACGCCUUACAAAAUGUUUUCACAUAAAUUUCGAAAAAAUAAUUAAAUGUUUACUCUUAUCUUUAUUUGGCUAUUACAAAAUUAUAUUAUAUCAUUUUCUUAAUUUAGUUAAGGUUGAAAGAAAGAAAUCAAUUUAAACUACAUUUAAAUUACGAUUAGAUUUUGACCCGCGCUUUUAAGCGCGGAUUAUUUUACAGUUGAUAAAAAGAGAUGAUAUGAAUUAGUAUUUUAGUCUUGUUAUACAUUAUUAUGUUACAAAAUUUUAUUAUAUCAAAAAAAUUAUUAUUUUUAUUUAGUUAGUUAAUGAAAUUAUAUUUUUAAUCGUUUGAUUACUUUUUUUUAAAAAUAUUAUAUGGAUUGAUCAGACUCAGUGCGUCUAUUAUUUUAAAAUAAAUUAUUUUCAAUUAGAUGAGAAGAAUACUAUUAUAUCAAGUUUAGACCCGUCGUCGAACCAGUAAACACGAUGACUUGUACAUAAGCUGGUUUAGAUUUAAUGAAAACUCGUUAAUUUAAAGCAUGCAAACUUCGAAAAAACAUGCAAUCAAGUGUGAUCCGGCAUUUGGUUGACAUGGUAGGAAAAAAAUAAUCUUCAAUAAUAUUUUAAGAGAUGAAUGAAACUUCUAAUAUAUUAACGUAAUAAAAAAUAAUUUAACGUAAAUAUAUAUAAUUUUGUUUUAACAAAUGAUUUUCUAAAAUGUUUUUUUAUUAAAUUUGAUUUUGUAAAUAUUUAGAAUUAUAUAAUGUUAGAUGACAUGAUAUAAUAUGUUGUAUGAUAUAUGCUUUCAUUCUAAUAAUUGAUAUCUAAAUAUUAUAUAUCCAUCUUUGAGCAUAAUAUAUGAUGUAUAUAACGUUAUUGAAUAACAACAAUAACAUUGGAUGAUAAUAGAAAAAUAAUUAGAGAAGUGUAUCAUACAAAAUGAAAAAUAAUAAUAGGAUUUAUUUAAAAUAUUUAAAUUAUUUAUAGUUAUUGUAGUUAAUGGUAGGAUAAAAAAUAAAGAGUUUUAUAUAGAUGUUAUAAAUUCUUUUAUAAUAUAUUUUAAAAAAUAUUUUCUUUUAAUAAUAUAAAUUUUCAAUCGCAUCUAUAAUAUAUUCUUAUCAAAAAUCAUCAUAACAAUAUAUUUAGAAUAUAUAUAUUUAGUAUAUAUUGUUAAACUAAAGUACACAAAAUAAUCUCUAACAAUAUAUUUAGAAUAAAUUGUUAAACUGUAUGCAAAAUAACUUCCUUUAAAAUAUAGUCAAAAUUAUUAGAAGUGUUAGUCAAAGAGAAUCUAUGAUGUAUAAGCUGUGUAGAUAAAUAUUUCAGAAAGGUCAACAUAUUCAUUUGAAAAACCACAUUUCGAUCAACGAAAAAAUGAUAGAGUGAAGCCUUUGGUCAAAAAAUAAAUUAUAGUGUGAAAUGUUGCAAAGUUGGUGGCACCAAGGAACAAUAUAGUUUUGGUAUUUAAAUUUACCAGUCACGUAUUGGUUAUUGAUUCAUUAUGGAUUCAUGAGACAUGUUUUGGUAAGAUGAUAUUUUAGUAUAAUGGAGUUAUGUAUAAUUUUUUGGUGUAUUAUAAUAAGUUGAGUAAUAAAUAAGAGCAUUGAUUAUUUUAUAGUUAGAGAAAUAUAAGGUAAUUGAUUAUUGCAUAGGUAGAGAAAUAUAAGGUGAGACCAAAAAAAUUGUUAAGUCUAAUGAAAGGGUCCAACAACUUUUCAUAGGUAGAUUUUUUAAAACUCCUUCCCUUUUAAUAGUAUAGAUUCAUAUUUAAAUAUAAUACUAUAAAACGAAUUUAAUUUUAAACGAAAAAUAGUAUAUAGAAAAAUGUCAGUCUUUCGUUUCACACUAUGAAAAUCCCACAAUAAAAAAAAAAACACGCAAAAAAGGGCAAGCAAGGAAAAUACUGAUGACACAUUAAACCAUUGAUGUUUGAUCCUUACGGUAGGGUCGUACCAGAACCAGAAUCCAACAAUUCACUAUCUCAAGAAAUACACAAUCAUCUAAAGCUCAAUGCACAGUGAUAUAUAUAUUCACAAGCAGAUAGAUGAUGAGAUUUUUUUUAAAUUAUAUACAAGUCAAUAAAAUUUAACAAAAUAUAGUUUUAACAAUUUAGAGUCUUAUAUUUUGUAUAUUAACUCUUAAAUUUUGGAAAUCCAUAACUAGUUUUUUAUUGAGAAAAUUGCCAAAACGGAACAAAAUUUAGAUUGUUGUCAUUUUGGUAUAAAACCAAUUUUUUUCCAUUUUGUUUCUAUUUUACCAUUUCUAUUUCUGAAAUUUAAUGAAAUAAAUAGUUUUAUAAAUCAAAAAAAUAUUAAAAAUAUAAACAUUUAAUAAAACACCGGUAUACACAAAUACAUAUAUUGUUUUGGUUGAAAAACUUGAUAAAUAAAAGUUUUAAAUUUUGCUCUACUAAAAGUAGAAUUCGUCUUCUACAGAAAAUUGGUUAGUAGAAAACAAAUUCCAGAAUAAACAAGUCCGUCUAUUUUUUUUAGAACGAAAAAUCUACUUUUAAUUAAAUUCUAAAUAUGAAGAAUGUGAAUUCUACUAAUUGUAAAGAUAUCUACUUUUUUCGCAAGUGCAGUUUCUACUUUUAUGAAAUAUUCUUCAAUUUCAGGAAUGCUAAAUCUAAAUAUAACACGUACGUCUACAUGAGGUAAAAAUUGCAUUCAAGAUUUUUGUCAUGGUUCUACUCAUUGUAGGAUGUGCUUUCUAUGGAUAAGACAACAUGUUUUUGAAAAUUAAAGAAGCUUUUGUUAAGAAAAUAUUUUAACUUCCUAAAACGUGUUUUGAUCGAUUUGUUUUGCCAAAAUAUAAAAAAAAACGAUUUUUUCUUUUCUUCAUCAUCAAUCUAUGAUUUUUCUAUAGCUUGUCUUGUGAUUUUCACAAACUCUUGUUCUAUGAUGCAUAUCUAUACAACAUGUGGUGUUUGGGAAUUUGAUGCAACAUGGUAUGAGUUUUUUCAACUGAUGACAAAGGGGGUAGACUAAUGUUAUUAGAAUCAAGUUCUAUCUUAGAAGAUUUUAAAAGACUAGUUGUGGAGGAUUUUGAUAUGGAAGAAUAUUAGGGUUAGUAAGAAUAUUUGGUUCCGUACGUCAGUGUCUUUUGUUCUUUUUUUUAAUUGUUUUUAUAUUUCUUUUGUCUUUAUAAAACAUUUUAUUUUUAUUUUUUUUCAUUAAACUUUUUAAAAAGGUUUUAAUGUAUGUUUAAUUUCAUUAACGAAAUGUUAGUUUUAGCAUUAUGAAAAAUAUUAUACUAUAAGAACAACUUAGUAAUGGUAUUAUAGUAAGGGGGUAACCAUCUUAAAUUUUUGUUCCGUUUGGCAAUAUUCCCUUUUUAUUUAACAAAGACGGUCCUGUAUUAACCAAAACUUAACUUUCUACAUUGUAUUCUUGUUUCUUUUCGUAUUAAUUGGUUAGCUAUUUUGGGUUUGAUAUUUGUAACCAAUGUUUAACUGAUGAUGCCCACUUCUAAGUUCAAAAAAAAAAUGAUGCCCACUUCUACAUAUUGACUUACAGUGACAAGAAAGAGGAUAAAAUAAAUAAAGUAGAUGAUGUAAUGGAUUACAUUCUGUGUUGAAUAUUAAUUUUGUUGAAAGAUGUACCGGUUUAUGGGGAAUGUAUGAAAUUAUGGAGUCGGUGGAGGUGGUUAUUUGUAGACUUGUAGUUGUUGUAAUUAAAUAGUUAAUUAGACCAAAUGGGUGAUUUAAUAAUACUUAAGUUUAAAAAGGUUGUGUUUGUAGAUAUAAACGAUAAGGUGUUGGUGGGCCGAUAACCAAAAAGGCACGUGACCAACAUUCCCGGUCUCCGGGGUAGGAGAUAUUCAAGAAGACAAAAGUAACCUCCAAUUAUCGGACGUCUGAAUGGUCGUAAUCUUGUAGUAGUUUGGAUAGUUUGACUUUAUUCACCUUGAUUGAUGCGCAAUCAUCGGGAGAGCGUUAAAAGCAGCUCCCAUCUAGAGUCGUCGGCACAAAGAAGGAGUCGUCGGCACAUAAAUCUUUGACCUCUUACUACUUUAGAAAACCGUUACGGUUUCUACAAUUAUAUGAGAGCCCUCCUCCCCGGAUCGAACUCCCUUGAAACAAAAAACAAUUAUGUGAAAAGUUUGAGUUUUGCUUCGACUCAAACAGUUUUAUGGUAGUUGGUAACAUGCGAUCCAUCUAUUCUCUAGUAUUAGUUAAGGUAUUAUAAACUCUAAUUAUGUAAUACUAGAGCUGUUCCCGGGCUACGCCCGGUAAUUUCCAUAAAAUUGUUAAAGUAAAAUAUUAUAUUAGAUUAAUAUAUUUUUAUCUAAAUUAUGAUUAAUAUAAAACAGUGUUUGGAUUAAAAUAAUCACUGAAUGUAAGAAGAAAAGAAAAAGUAUUAUCGAUAGUUAUUGAUAUUUAUUGAAAUAAUGGUUUCAUUGGCAUAGGUAGCGGUAAUGUAAAUAUUAAAUAUUUAAGUGUUAACGAAAUAUAAAACAAUUCCAUUAUGAAUAUAAGACAACCAUUAUAAUGAUUGGUUCUUAUUUGUAUAAAAUAUAUAUGCAUAGAAAUUAUUAAUUUAUAGUUUUAAUUGGACUAUCUAUUUCCAUAGAAUUUUAUAACACAUUAAUAUCUUUUUUUUAUCAAUUUGCGUAAAGUUUUGUACCGGCUGAAAUUGGAUCUGAGAAAAAGCAAUAUAUAAAUUUUUUAAAAAAAUUUAAGGUUUGGAAUUAUAAUUCUUUAAAAUCUAACUUUUUUAUAAAUCUUUUUAAAAGUUUUUUUUCCAUAAACUGUUUUCUGAAAAAAAAAUUGAAAAUCGAAGUUAUGUUUGAAACUAUUUUUAAUUUUUUUUUAAUAUUCUUAAUUAUUUUUUUUAUAUAUUAUUAUAAUACUAUAUUUUUAUUCCAAAUACCAAAAAGAAACUUAAACCCCUCACGAAAACAAAGAAAAUGGUUGAUUCUGCAAUUUUUUUUAUUCAAGAAGGAAAAGCCAUAAAAAGCUAUAAAUAGAUUUGUACGUAGAUGGACCAACACCGAAAAAACUCAAGUAUUCCAGAUCCUAACAAACUGAACAAUGGAAUGAAAUAUCAUAAUUUCCACCACUAAAACAGAGCAGAAUAUGAUAAGCUCUCAUCAAAAUCCCUACACUAUAGUGAGACCAAUAUUCACAGAUGAGUAAUAAAAGACCAAAACAGAGAAAGCUCAGGCCUUUCAUACCAAAGGCACAUAAAACAUAGCAGAACGUAAAUGAACACAGAAUAAUCGAAAAAAUAUAAAGUGGACUAAGAGAAACAAAACCCAUCAGUUGAAACCAACGAUAAAACAUCAAUACCCUAUGGUGAAACCAAUCUACAAAAAACAAAAUGAAACUGGCCAAUAUUAGUGUGACAAUACCUGUUCGAAGUAGAAGAGAAUUGGAGAGAAGCAUUGGGCUGAGAGAGGCGUUGAAGAUUAGUUAGGCAGUGUCGUGCGAAGGGUUUUAGGGGCCUAAGGCAAGUUUUAAAAAAAAAAUUAUAUACAACUAUAAAAAAAAAAAUUUCUAAUACGAUAUAUCACCUUUGCGAAAUACAUAAGUUUAACACUUACAAAAAUAAGUUUAUUACGUAAAUAUGCUAUGUUAUGUCCUAUAAGAAAAAAGUAUAUGGAUUUAGAAAUAGAGUUAUUCGAUUCUCAUGAAAAGUUUUUUUUAGAAAUAAAUUUAACCAACUAAACUAGAAAUUAUUUUAAAUUUUGGGGCCCUAAAAACGUAAUAUUAUUCGGGGGCCUAAGGCGAAUGUCUUUUUCAAUACACUGUAAGCACGCCUCUGUAGUUAGGUUAAGGUUAAGGGGUUUUUCUUUCUAAGCAUAAGAAUAUAUGAUAAUUGUGAAUAUGGAAAACUUCCUAAAGUUUCACAAACGUAUAAUUGAUUAGUUCAAAUAUUCCUACCGUGAAUGUGGCACAUGCUCUAAACUUUCUAAAUGUGUAUAAUUGAUAUCAGUAAUAUAGAAUCCUGAUAAGAAAUCAUGGUAUAAUUGUUUUAAAAACAUACAGAAACUCAAUCUAUUUUCUACAUUUUGCUCAGAUAUGUAGAAAGUCAACAGAGAUUAUAAGAAACAGCAGAGUCUAUAAGAAAGGUAGUUCAAAUUAUUGAAAGACAAAGUCUGAAAAUGAAAACAAACUAAGCAUUGUCUUUAAGUUAAACAAAAACGUACUUAAACAGCAGCAAAUUUAAAAAACCAACUCAAUACUUAAACUGCAUCAAGGAACCGAGGCUCUAAUUCUCACAUCUUGGGCGUUAGCUCUGGAUCAGCACUGCUACACAUCCGCUUGCUCUCCUCAUCUCCAGAGACUCCACGGCCUUUGAGAGGUCCACAGACGUCGUUUCCAGUCUGCGCUGCUUCCUCGGACAUUGCAGCAAUGUCAUUUCUCACUGAGGCUUCAGUGGGUGGUGUUGGGUCUAGAGACACGAUCUUGGUGACAGUGAUAGCUCGGGUAUUGCCUGAGAAGUUGUGGUCUGUAACUUUCACACAGAACUUAUGUGUUUGUCCGAUGGUGCUGAUUAGAGCUUCUGGGACAGGCACCUCAUGGUCAGCUCCUUCGCUCUUAUUAGCCUUACAUUUAAGUACAAUAGUGUCAGUUUAAAUCACUUGAGAGUUUAGAAAACAAAAAAGUAAAAAAUAACUUGAGAUUACAAACUGGUGCUCAGUUACCUCAAAGUAGCUACUAACUAACUCGGAUGCGUGCCUCCCAGUCAACUCCCGGCCAGCAUCUCCAAGCAGGACAAAGAAAGCUUGUUCACUAUUGUCGUAAACAGAAAUCUUUGCACGGUAUCUGGUGUGACAGAAUCAAAAAAUAACGUCACAAAUGUGAUAAUCAAAACUAAUACCAGUGAAAGCGUAAUUGAAUAUUAAGGCGAGAGAACAUACUGUGCAACGCCAUCUGUGUUAACCUUCUCACAUUUUGGGUUUGUACAAAUCAACGAACUCGGGCCAUUGGUAGCCUUAGAAUGGCACCCACUGCAUCCAAUAUAGUACCAAGGAUAGCCAUGCACAACAUCAUCAAUCGUAGCUGUGCACUCAAAAAAGGCAGCCUGGACGGUUUAUAGGCAUAUGGUUAAAAUAUAUUCAAUAUAAUACUUAGCAUGAAAUAUAUAUACUUUGGUCACAAUAUUUAAAUAUAUUAGCGUUUACUUUUACCUUGGCGGAUUCCUGAGUCAUGUAGGAGAAUAUCUCUGCUAUACUCAGUGUCUCACGCUUAGUGAUGACGUCUGCGCUAACCUGAUUAGCAAUCUCUGGGUUAGAGCCCAGCCUGAAACAAAAUGAAAAGCAGUGCUUCAGUCAUUCAAUGCUAUAAGUGUAAGUGUUGGAAUAGAUGCUGAAGACGGGAUACAUACCAGGUGAAAUAAUCUCUGGUUGGUUGGACAUCAUAGUCCAUGAAAACCCGUGUAGAAGACAUAGAGGUCAGGGCAAGGGUACCUGCUCAGUAAUGGAAGAGUCAUUAAAAAUGAUGUUGUGAAGAUUAGCCACUAAUGUUAAGAAGAAAAACGUUUUAAGAAUGGUAAAUAAGCUACUAUCACGUAUGGGAACAACUAUAAACCACCCGAAAACAUGUCACAAUUAUCACUGGAAAUGUAAGUAUAAAGAGAUAAGUGAUUAAGUAAAAUUAGCAACCAAUGACAAAGAAGAGAGAAACUUUUUGUAAAACAUGUCAUAAUUAUCACUCAAAACAUGAGUUCAAAGAGCUAAAUAAUUACCUCCGAGACGUUUGGUGUUAACAGUGGUGACCAAAAGCACUGUGGGAGUGUUUUCACAGGAGUUGAACUUCUCGCAGAAGUCUGUUGCAGCCUGGUCCCAAAGGUAAAGCUUCAUCACAGGUCCCCUGCAAAGAUAAACUCAUACAGAUUUAAGAACUACCGAGAGAUGAUUACUUGGAAUGAAAGAACACACUUACUUAUGUGACUGCACGUGAACCAUAAUGUGCCGAGUGGUAGCGAUCUUCGCAUGAUCAAGGCUGGGACGCUCAAUUAGAGUCUGGCCAUCGACCAGCUUCAUGUGACCAACAACAUCUAUAACAGUUUCAUGAAAAGUGUACGUUAGAUGACUAAUAAAACUCUAGAAACCAAAUAUUUGAACUACUUUUUUAACCCUGAAAAUCUAGAUUUCUUUACCUAAACAGGAGAAUAGACGAAAAACUACAUACAAAGCAAUGUAACUGAGAUUUGUAAAACUAAUAUGCUUACCGUAGAGGUCGCCUUUGAGAUCACAGUUGGCUUCAAAAUCUUCGUAUGAAUGAAACCUAAAACGGUCUUCAUCAAAAGAGAUGGGAAUCUCGCGAAGAACAGACAUCUCAUAGUUCCACGCGAAAGACACGGUUGCGACAUGAUCAGCAACCCGAUACACCGGUUUGUUUUUCGACCCGUAGAAGUUGAUGAGUUUGUAAACUGAUCCACGUUUCAUGUCAGGUAAGUACUUCUUAAUUCGUCCUGGUGGGAUGAAUCCUUGAAUAACAGUUCCCUAAUGUCGGAAAAAAUAACAAAUCACAAAAUGAGAAUGAGAAUGAAACCUUAGAAAAUAAUGAAACCGAAGAAUUAAAACAGAAACAAUUGAAACAAUACUAUAACUUAUUAACAAAGCGUAUAAGCACACGUCUAGAUAAUCAUCGAAACCGUAGCUUAAAAUUCUCGGAAACAUAGAUAUAAAACUGGAAACUAUUUUUGAAGAAUCGACGCACAAAAUGAGAAUGAGAAUGAAACCUUAGAAAAAAAUGAAACCGAAGAAUUAAAACAGAAACAAUUGAAACAAUACUAUAACUUAUUAACCAAGCGUAUAAGCACACGUCUAAAUAAUCAUCGAAACCCUAGCUUAAAAUUCUCGGAAACAUAGAUCUAAAAAAUGGAAACUAUUUUUGGAGAAUCAACGCACCUGUUCGUCAAUGAGGAGCAUUUCGAGGCCAAUCAGCGUCUUCUUGACCGGGUUUCGAGCCUCCCAGAAAUGAAUGAGCCGGAAGCGAAGCUGAGUCUCGUGUGGACCUAGAGAGACAUCCUUGAAGAACAUGACUUGUUCAUCAGGGUCGGAGGAGACAGGAGACUUCCCAUUUCGUUUCAUCGCCAUGGAUCGAGAUUUGAGUGAUUCUAGGGUUUUGGAUAAUAGAGAAGAUCAGUAUAUAAAGGAGGAUGAAAAGGAGUAUAUAAAGGAGGAUGAAAAGGGGGAGGUGAAACGAAAUCAUUAAGGAGGUAUAUUGAUUGUAUAGAAGUGGAUCGAUUAGAUCUCGGCUUCUCUGCUCAUCGAUCGGAGAAGACGAAGAGGUAGCAGUGAUGAGAAUCUCAUCCCUCGACGGAUUCUUCGAGGUUUCAAUUACGGCAAAAACGACGCUAAACUCCAAUAUAGGCCACAAAACUUUGGUGAAGCCCACAACAUUCGGUGAAGCCCACAACACAUACCAGAAACAAAUCGCAAACCGCGAGCCCAGGAUGACGUGUCAAUUUCGACGCUCCUGAUUGGUUCGAAUAAAUAAUCCGACGUGGACACCUUACCUGCUCUCUAUAUCCCCCUUUUAGUAUUAUAGAUGGUAUUUAGUCAACACUGUAGCACUAAGUGCAUCUUUCUCAAAAGUGACCGGAUUAUCUGAUAAGGUAUGUACCAAAAUGUUUUUGUAAUAUUCUUAAAACACUGUUCACUUUGUAUCAUUUGUAUGUUGGAUUUCUUUAAAAGUAUAAAGCGAAAAUGUAGUUCAGUAGUUAAACACUGAAGGUGAUUGAUUGAGCUAUAAGAAAUGUUUUUGGCUUUAAUUUUUAUACAUCCUUUAAAAUUAUCAAUAAUAUUUAGAAUAGUUUUUAAAACUACAAUAAUAAAAUAGCUGUAAGAAAUUAUUUUCUAAAACAGCUUUUUUAGCUGUAGAAAAAUUGCUAUAACAGUAAAAUUUAAAAGUAUAUUUCUUUACAUCUAAAUAAAAAAAUUAUACAGAUUAUAUUUUACAACAAAUUUUUUAUUGUUGCAUCCCAACAAAUCACCCUCAUUGUUGACCUUAUAGUCAGUUUAAACUUUAUACUGAAAAACCAACUUUUAGAUUACAAGAAUACUCAUAUAUGUUAUGAACGAUGACUAAAUUCUCGAGUAGAAAAUCCCUUAUAUAUUAAAGAAGAAACAUUGUAAUAAAUGCGUUCACACUAAACUGGACACAUUUCACGUGUAGAAGCAUUGUAAUAAAUGUGUUAACAUUAAAAUGGACACAUGUCACAUGUAGAGAGUUUUUCAGCCAAACUCUACAUCAAUAUGUUCACACUAUGUACUUUACGUUUUUUAAUAUAAAAUUCACAUGCAUGGUUCUUCUUUAUGUUAUUUUUAAUGUUUACGAAUAGAUCUGGACAAAUUAUUCAUAAAUUUUGAUUCGAUUCGUUAUCCGUUUUGACUCGAACUGAAAAAUUAGGAUAUUUGUUACUCUACGAAGUAAAUCACAAAUAUCAAUAGAACAAAUAUCCAAUUUGAUCCGUUAUAUAUAUAUAUAUAUAUAUAUAUAUAUAUAUAUAUAUAUAAACUAGGUGUUUUGCCUGCAUAUGCGGGCAUAAACUUCUUAUGAAUACUUAUUAGUUUAUGUUUUAUUAAUCUAAAACCAACGUAAUAAGUAAUUAUUUAUGGUUUUAAAUAGUUAGAUCAAACAUCAAAGUAUUUAUAUAUGUCAAAUAUUUUUUUAUCAAAAUAUAUACUUACUUUUGUGUUAAUUUUUUUUUAAAACACUCAUAUCUUAGAAAUAGUUUAGAAAAUAUCUUUAUAUAAUUUUUUUGCUUGACUAAUAUUUAAUUAUCAAUUGGUUUUUUAUCUUAACUUUUUAACUUUUAUAAUAAAAUAUUUCUUUCAGAUAGCAACACAAUAUAUAUAAGAAUAAUCUUAUUUUUUAUAAUUCUAUUACAUUAUUAUUAUUAUUAUUUUGUUCAAAAUUCUAUUAUAUUAUUUUAUAAUCAAUUAUUUAAUGUAACAUAUAACAUAUAAACUUUAUACUUUUAAAAUAAAAUUCAUUUUUAAUUAUAUAUAAAAUUCAGUAAAGAUAUUGUUUAAAAUUUGUUUUUAAUAUAACAUAAAAAUUUAAUAUCAUUAACGUUCGUUUUUAAUUAUAUACAAGAUUCAUUAAGGAUAAUUUUAAAUUAAUAUAUUAAUGACUCAGCUAAUAACAAAUAAUAAAUCAAUGAUUUAGGUAAAACCUAAUAAAAACAUGACAAGUAAACAAAAUUACCUAAGAUCAUGGAGAAAAUGACAAAUAAGCAAAAUCACUUCAUAAAUAAUAGUAUAGAUAUAUUUAAGGAAUUAUAUAUAAGUUAUAUAUUAUAGUUUAUAUAAAUUUUACAAUAUUUUUGUUUUUAAAUAAUUUCAUUUUAAGAAUUUUAUUUUUCAUGUAUUAUUUUGAAAAAAUAUCAUUUAAUAUUAAUUAACAAUAUAUUUAUAUAUUUAUCAACCAUCUUUAUAUUCUUUUACAUACACAUACAUGUGCACAUUGACGUGAACACAUUAUAACUAAGUAUUUACCACAACUGAAAUAUCUAAUUUUUUGAAAGUUAAAAUAUUCUUUUUCUUCAUUCGUCUUUCACUAUCGACCAAACUGUAGUAAAAUGAUUUGUUUUAAUAAUUUUGUUUUUCUUUUUUUUUAACUAUUAUUCGUUUUGAAACUAUAAUAUGAAAUCAUUGGUUCGACAUUGCGACUAUCUAAGAUUCAUAACAUGAAAACAAACAAAUAAUAAUAAUUGAUUAUUACAGGAAAAAAAAAACAAAAACAUCAAACAUUUUAACCGAACAAACUAAAUAAAUAUUGAUUAAAAUGAUAGUUAUAUUUUAGGAGAUUAAAAACUAAAAAAUAAUUUAAAACCGAACCGAUAUCCAAAUUAAACAGAUUAAUAUCUUUUUAUUAAAAAAUAAUAAAACUAAUUAUCACAUUUUGUUCAAUGCGCGGAUUAUUACCAAGUAAGUUAUUAUAUAGGUUUCCUCGGUCAAUGACACUUAAUAAAAAAUGGGCCAUUGUCGUAGAUAUGAUAAUAGCACAUGGGCUUGGGUUUAGAAGUCCAUUUUCCUAUAACUUAAAUUGGAGAAACAAAUGCAAAAACAAAAAAAUUCUUAUAGUGGGUGCGUGAAUUUGGGCUAUUUAAACCAUUUGCUUUUGAAGUCAACGGAUGGCUUGUGGAGCGAUCUAAAACAUUGCAAUCUGUAAGCACCAUGUGGAAUGGAAGAAUCUCGAUUCUCCUUUGGUUAUCUUUUCUUUUGAUGCUGUAACUAUAUAUUAUAUUAUAUUAGUUUUUUGUGGAAUUGCGUAAGAUUCUCUUUGGUAAUGAGAUUGAAAAUUAGAUUAUACUUGUGAUCUAUGGUAAAACCGAGUCAUGUGAUGGCAACUUCUGACGGCCCACGUGUCCGUCUCACUCAGUAUCUUUCACCUUCAUUGUGGGUCCCAGUGUGGCUGCCCAUAUCGGGACAACUUCCCAUGCUUUUGGACAUUUGUGAAUGAUAAUAGAUUUGUGUUUUUCUUACGUUUCCAAUUAAAGAUGAGGAUAUAAUCUAGUUAUUAACACCUUAAAUAUGUGUUUAGUUUCUAUGCAUCAUCUCACAUCCAGAGUUUGGAUAAAAGAUGACAAAAUCUACAAGGCUGCAACUUUGAAAAAAAAUAAUGAUAAAUUUCUUUGUUAAUCAAGUUAAUUUUGAUUUGGAAUGAAUGGGUGACUGCAUGAAAUCUUGGAGUCGUCAUGAUUCAUUAUAGAAAAGACUGAAAAGAAACUACAAGUAGUUUGCGAAGGCAGUUAGUUAUUGUGGCUAUGGAAAAGUGAAAAUUAGGUAUUUUGAAUUUGAUGAAGCUUCAUUGCAUUUGGUUCUAAUUGAUGACUAUAUUAAAAUAAAAUUACGGUAAAUUCUUUGUUUCUUAAAAUUUAUAUCAUUUUUUUUGCCCAUUUAAAUUAAUUUUUUGGUUAAAGUAUUAACAUCAUUUCUUCGGAAAUUUUUUAUAAAGGAAUGAAUUUAUAAAGAAAAAAAUUUUCUGACAAUUCUGAUGAAAAAUUAAAUGAACAAAAAAAAAUAUUUUAUUUUUUCCGUUUUUCCAAGUAAAAGUUUAUUUUUAUUUUAUUUAUUUUUUUCUAUUCAUCUGGGGGAAGCGUUGUCAAAAGAAAAUAAACAAGAAAAUAUGUUACCUUGUGAUUAUUUCACGGCUCUUUAGAGCAUCCACAAUGGUGGUACUCAUUGUGGAGUCCUUAGGAUUAGAAUAAUAGUUUUUUUUUUUUUUCUUAAUAGUUAAGGAUUCUUGUUGAGAAAUGUGUGUACAAUGGUGAUCCCUAAGUUGGAAUCCUUAGGUUAUUUUUUUUUUUUUUUGGUUUAGUGAAAUAUAAAUUUUAUAUAUUAGAUGAUUAAAUACAAUAACUUAACAUAAAAUACAAUAAAUAAACAUAAAAUACAAUAAUUAAACAUAAAAUACAUUAAUUAAACAUAAAAAUACAACAAGUAAAGAAAAAAAAAUAAUUUUACAUAAAGAUAGAAUAAUUCCUAAUCUUCAUCACCAAAUUUAUUCCAAAUAUUUUGAAUUAAAUCAUUUUUCAAUUGUUCAUGCAUUUGCCUAUCACGAAGAUCAUUCCGACUCGGAAAGAUAUUAUUCAGAUUUGUUGGCCUCUCCGUUUCCACCUCUGAACAUCUGGGGACGUCUCCUUCUUCAAAUUCAGAUAUAUCAAUACGAGAGUAUCCAUCCCGUUCAUCUUCGACUAUCAUAUUGUGGAGUAUGAUACAUGCUCUCAUAAUCUUCCCUAUCUUUUCAUUUUCCAAAGUUUUUACCGGGUUUCUCACAAUCGCAAAUCGAGCUUGCAAUACUCCAAAAGCCCGCUCCACAUCUUUUCGGGUUGCUUCUUGGACUUUAGCAAAUAACUGUUGUUGAGGACUUUGAGGGAGGGUGAUAGAUUGGAUAAAUGUUGACCAUUUUGGAUAUAUACCGUCUGUCAGAUAGUACGCCAACUUAUACAUGUGUCCGUUGACCACAUACUUUACCCUGGGAGCUCGACCUUGUAAAAUGUCAUCAAAAACAGGAGACCGAUCGAGGACAUUGAUAUCAUUUAAGGUACCUGGAGGACCAAAAAAAGCGUGCCAUAUCCAAAGAUCUUGUGAAGCUACAGCCUCUAAGACAAUUGUCGGUUUUCCUGAUCCACGUGUGUACUGACCUUUCCAAGCGGUUGGGCAAUUUUUCCACUCCCAAUGCAUACAGUCAAUGCUCCCGACCAUCCCAGGAAACCCUCGUGCCUCUCCAAUAUCGAGUAGUCGUUGAAGAUCCUCCGGUGUGGGUCGUCGUAGAUACUCAAUUCCGAAUAAUUGUAUUAUUCCGUCAGUGAAAUUAUGUAAACAUGAAAGUGCAGUGGUCUCACCAAGUCGGAGAUAUUCGUCAACGGUGUCAGCCGCAGUACCAUAAGCAAGCAGACGAAUAGCUGCAGUACAUUUUUGAAGUGCAGUAAGACCCCACCUCCCGGUCGCAUCUCUUCUUUGCUGAAAAAAUGGAAAGCGCUCUGAUAGACCAUGAACAAGACGCAAGAAUAAUCUCUUAUUCAUGCGGAAACGGCGUCUGAAUAAUUGAGACGAGAAUGUCGCAUCUUCGCUGAAAUAGUCAUUCCAUAAGCGGUCUUGUCCUGUUUCACGGUUUCGUUCUACAUAAGCACGUCUCCUUUGCGGUCUGCUUUGGGCCUCCACUAUGUCGUUGUAUGUUUCUUCCAAGUAUUCGUCGCAAAUUUCGUCUAAUCUUUCAUCGACUUCAUCGGAUGAACUCGAUGAUGACAUAUCUAGAUAUCCUGGUUCGGAAAAUAAUAAAAUUAUGUACAACCUUUAAAAAGACUUGCCACUAAUUUUUUUUAAAUUUUUUUGUAAAAUUCUUGUAAUCUCAAAGUGGUUGGUCCAAGAAAUUCUUGUAAAUUUCUAAAAUUAUCAACUAUUAGGAGAGUACUCAAAUUCUAAAAUUCUAAAAUUAUCAUUUAACAAAUUUUUUAAAUUUUUUAAACACUCAAAUAUAUUUUAUAUAGACUAUGAUCGGUAAUAAUUAUGCAAAAUGAAGUGAUCCGUUUUCAUGUUUUUCUUGUUAGAUUGCGAUUCAUGUUAAAUGAUGUGAUCCGUUUCUUUAAAACAAUUACUACAUGAUUGUUUCAUCAAAUGAAGUGAUCCGUUUCUUUAAAACAAUUACUACAUGAUUGUUUCAUCAAAUGAAGCUAUCCGAAUAUAAAUGAGUCUUAAUGCAGAAGCAAGUUACAUUACAUCAACUUAAGCAAGUCAAAUAUAUUACAAGAAGUCGUUAAGAGAUAGAGUUACCUAAUUAAAACAGAAGCUAGUGAAUACAACAACUUGGUAGCAACAAGAUUACACCUUCUUGUCAAGAGUAGUAGCAAACGGAAAUUAAAGGAAGGAAGGAAGAAGUGAUGGAAACAAAGCAAACGAGACACAAAUUUAUAGAAGUGAAGGAAGAAGUGAUGGAAACAAAGCAAACCCGUGACUUGGUUUCACAACUCCAAAUUCACCCGUGACUUGGUUCACAUGUCCUACUGUUGAACCUGAAACAAAAAGACAAGACUUAGUAAAGCAACACAACACGACAUGUAUCUACGCAACAAGUACCAUUGUAAUAAAAGACUUUGCAAAGCAACACAAGCCGACAUGUAUCUACUACGCAAACAAACAAGAAUAACAUCAUACCAUAUCAGACAUAAGUUUGAGUUUGAGAGAUGUUUCCAACUCAGUUAAUGGCUCUUUUUUGGCUAAUAAACGAUGGAGUAAUUUCUGGUUAAACAUAUUUUGUUUCAUCUCCAUGAUGACUUGUAGAUGUGACAACUCCUCUUCUUUACCACUCUUCUUCUUCUUUGUAGCUGCUUUCGCAGCCUUGACCCCGAUCGGUCUCCCCUCUUGUUGUCCCACUUCCUCGUCUGUAUCAACCUCCAAGACUAGCUUCCGCUUUUCCUUCCCACCGUCAUUAUCGACAAUAGUGGAGCACCAUUUCUGGUCAUGCCUCAACUCCCUCCAGGCGUGUUCCAGACCGAACUUGUGGCCUUGAUCAUUGAAGAAGUAGUCUAGUGCAGCUUUCAUGAGGUCAUCAUCAUUUUGACCACUUCUCUGCUCCCUCAUAGCGUGGUCAUAGCAACCAACGAACUUGGAGACUUGAUCGUUAAUCCUACCCCACCUCUUCUUGGCCGGAAUAAUCUCUCUCGGUAUUGUCCCCACGAGUUGAGGGCUUGCAUUGUAGUACUCGAUAAUCCUCUGCCAGAACUUACCAGCUCUCUGCUCAUUGCCCACCACUGGAUCUUUACUGGUGUUGAGCCAGGCACCAAUAAGUAUUUUAUCCUCUUGCGGUGUCCAUUUCCUCCGGCUGUUGAUAGCAGAGUCGACAACAGGCUCACCAGACCCGACAACAGGCUCACCAGACUCGACAACAGGCUCGGUAGCUUGGCUACCGAGCCAAACUCGUUCGGGUGAAUCAAGGUCAAUAGAACAUUGACUAUACAUGAGGUUAACAUAACCACCGGUGUUAUUCAUUGUAAGAAAAAGGAAUCAGCAUUCAAAUCUACGCCUUAUACAUUGACUACACAUGCCUUAUAUAAGCGAGCUACAAGUAAGAAUUUAAAGCCAAUUAAAUCUAAGUAGUUAGAACAGAUAGCACCAAUCAAAUCUCACUUUUAGCAAUAAGUUCUCUACAACCAAACAAGUACCAUUGUAAUAACGUUUUAGUCUAAGUAGUUAGAGCAGAUAGCAUUUAUCACCAAUCAAAUCUCACUUAUAAAUGUUUCUCUACUAGAAACAUUUUACCAAUAAGUUCUCUACAACCAAACAAGUACCAUUGUAAUAACGUUUAAUAACCAAUCAAAUCUGAGGAUUUAGGAAGGUUAAAAACAUUUAACACAAAGAGUUUCACUUUAAAGACAGCAGCGUUGUCAGUUAUUUUUCUAAGAGAGUACGAUGUUGUACAGUGUCUAACCUUAAAGACAGUGUCGAGGUCAGAUACUCUUCUUGUAAUCCUUCAAAGCUCUUCCUGGAAAACAUCCAAUAAAACAGGUUAAUUUUUUAAAAAAAAUAACAAGAAAAACAUUCAAAAAACAGAACGAAUGAAACUAACCUCCAAGAAUUAACACCAAAACGCAGAACAGAAGACAAACUACCAAUGCAAAGCAUUUUGUAACCAACGCUUUCUUCUGCGAUAACUCAUCACACACGGUCUUCUCCAGCUUACCCAGGUUCUGGUGAGUCUCAUUAACUUGAUCCUUAAGCAGCCUCAGCUGUGUCUGAAAGUCAAGCAUCUCCUCCGCAGUAGCAUGUCCUCCGCAGAAGUUCUGAACCGGCUGAGGUGGGUAGUGAACCGGCUGAGCACGGUUGUAGCUACUCUCAGCUUCAUCGGCGUACAUAGCGGCUUCCGCAAGAAAAAGUGAUGUAUUAUCAAACUCAUCUGAUGAUGAAGGCUGGGUGUAGCUAUAGUCUUGGCCCAUGUUUCUUAAAACUGAAAUAAAAAAUCAAGUAAGCGAAGAUACACAACAACAAUCACAAAGAUAAUCAGUGUUCGAGCAAUACAUACAACAAGCAAAAGUAAAACAUGACUACAACAAGCAAAACUAAGAAUUAUAAUCCGUAACAAAGACAAGAACUAAAACAUUCCUAAACUCUGGUAGUGGGUUCAAAACAUACGACGAGUCAAUAUGAAACAUAAACGGUGAUGAUAAGAAGCAAAUCCAAAAAGUCCAAUAAAAUCGAGAGACAGAAAGAGAGACACCUAGAGUGGUCAGCAAAGAUGGUAGACAAGAGGAUAUAGAAGAUGAGUAUCAAGAGCAAACCGAGAAGAAAACUACAAAUCUAUAUAAAUUCCCAAUAACUAACCUUUAAUCGCGUCGUUAACAACAAACAAGCGAAUUCAAAAAGAAGAAAAUUUUAAACCCAGAAGAAAACUCUAAUUUCGAUUGAAAUCCCAAAUCUGAUUUGAAACCCUAAAGCUAUUAAAACCAAACAAUUGAACCCUAUCUAGUGAUGAAAUCGACAUGCAUCAACCAGAGAAGGAAAAAAAAUAAACUACAAGCUUGGAUUCACCUUGAAGAAAGUCGAUCGCGAAUCGCCUCUGUUAUCGCCUCUCUCUCGACUCUGCUUUUUUUUUUCCUUGAAACGAUAAAAUGACGCGGCUCGCGUUAUUUCCACCCCCUAACCAAACCAACCCUAAACCGGAACCAAUCAGCUGUUGCCAGCGCAUGAAGGACUUGCUCCUUCGUUCUCUUAACGAAGGAUUAAUCCUUCGUUCCUCCAGUUUUUUUAAUGUUUGUUUAAUCCAAAACCUUAAGGAUUUAUCUUAAGGAAUGCUCUAAGGAGCAGCGUUGUACAUGCUCUUAGUCUUUGGAUACUUUAGUUUAUUGGUCCCAUUUCAUGACUCCUCGACCUUAUCUAUAUCUCCAUCAUACUCCACUUGCACUUUUAUAUUUCCACAACCUCCUCACUUAUUGUCUUUUGUUCCUAAGAUUACUUUUUGAACUUCCUAAAAUUAGUAUUUUUGCACUUCUUACCUUAGUCAAAUAUUUCUCAUGUAAUCACGUAUAUCUUUAAUUAAAAUCGGACACUGUAAAUGUAAAAUUAAGCAUGAAACGCAUAAUGAGAGCCCAACGAUUAAAGAAUUGCUAUUUAGGUCAAUUUACAGUAAAAUUUAAUGUACUUUAAAUUAUGGUCGAGAAUUAUAUAGUCUAGAGGUUUCAAAAAUAAUAGUAUAAAUAUCUUUUCGCAAAUAUCAUAUAUCAGAAGAAUUUCAAUGUAACAUAUUCUGAUUAAAUAUAAGACAUAAACAUAUAUGUAAUUAGAUUAAUUUUAAAAUACAGUUAUGUGAGGUAGUUGAAAAUUCACUAGUAAUAAAAUUUGCAAUAAGAAACUGAAAUCGAAUUGUUUUAAAUGGCAUGGUCAGUAGUGGAAAAACAAUUUUAAUAGAUAAAUAAUCAAGAUAUUUUGAGAAGCUGUCUAUAAAAGUCAUAAACCACUACCAAAAGCUUACUCCACAUCUCUCUCUACAAAAAGUACUCAGGAGCAAAAAAAAACGAAAUCAAAUAAAAAUAAAAUGGUUCUGCUAGAUAAGCUUUGGGAUGAUGUUGUUGCCGGACCUCAACCUGACCGUGGCCUAGCCCGCCUCCGUAAAAUCACCACCCAACCCAUUAAUAUCAGAGGUAUCAUCAUUACUAUGUUAAGCACUUUCUAGAUUGGUUGUAAACAUAACUAGAGAUUAAUUAGUGUGUAUGGAAAUAUAUAGGAGAAGGAAGCAACAAGGUGAUGCAUAGGUCGUUGACUAUGCCGACGGUAGUGAGCCCCGGAACUCCAACUACUCCGACCACUCCGACAACGCCACAUAAGGAUAACGUGUGGAGGAGCGUCUUUAAUCCUGGAAGCAAUCUCGCCACAAGAGCCAUCGGCUCCAACAUCUUUGAUAAACCAGCCCACCCAAAUUCUCCAUCCGUCUACGACUGGUGAGUUCAUUAUUUAUAUGUUAUUUUCUAUGAAGUCAUAUGCUUAAGACUUUAAAUCUUAGAUGUCAUGAUCAUAAAUCAUAAUAUAGAGGAACAAGUCAUGUGAUCGGGUCAGCUUUUAUGAUUCUGACUUUUGAAACUAGUUAAAGUACCGAACCGGAUAAAUCUAGGAACGGUUUGGUUCGUUUUAAUUUACUGAUAUCUUGGUAUGAGUUAUUUAUGUGUCAGCGAUGAUAACGAAGCUCAAAGGAAGGAACACGUGGCACUGUGUUUAGUAGGCGCGUGGAUUAAAUGAAAACCAAUAAAACAUUAUUCUGUUUUACCAUAUCAACCACCUCCUUUAUUGUGCAUAUGGUAUAGUCAUGAACUCUCUAUAGCAUCGAAGUAACCAAAGAUGGGAAAUACAAUCCUUUUUUAUUGUAUCACAGCCGUUGGUUGUUACGUAGCUUCAGAAUCAGAGAGUUUAGAUCAGUUGAUGGUUUACUUGUUGAUUGCACGUGUCGCAGGUUGUACAGCGGCGAGUCAAGGAGUCAGCACCGUUAAAAGCGAGUCAAUGGGAGUGACACAAGUGGGUGAUGUAAAUAUGGUGUCUAGAUCUACCGUCACGUGUCUGUCUAGGUUUUGCUUGUUUAUAUAACUGUCUUCCACCUAUGCAAUAAGUUUUCCUUUUUGGGCUUGGUUUGCAAGUUUCUUUUGUGUGUUUUUGUAGUAACUUGCAAGUGGAGAGGUUGAGUCUUCACUAUCUCGUUUGGUUUUGAUAGUGAACAUGCAUCUGCUUUUGUGUUUCUACUAAUGCUAAUAAAAUCAUGUUUAUAUAUUGUGUUAUUUUAGUAAAAUGUUGGUGGUUUGAUUGGUAGUGAAAGAUUGUUGUUUUUUGGUGGAAUGCACAAUCUUGUCCAAAAAUUACUUCAACUUUGAAGCUUGAGGAAUGAUUUGAGGCUCAUAAAGAAGAUUAAAAAUUUAGAACAAUUAUCAGAUGGAACCCAUGAACAAAUGGGCAAUGUCAAAGGUUACCAUACGACAAAAUGCAGUUUCCAUGGCAUUUUAGUUCUAAUGAAAACAAAGUAUUGCUUGUGUUUAUUUUGGAUUUGACAUACUAGUUUGGGUUACAAAUGGUUUCACAGUUCACACAAUAGAACCCUAAUAGAGUAAUGGUGGUCUAGGUAUUUAUGGAAUGAAGGUCCUUCGUGAAGAUAAAAAUAUGUAUGGACACUAUCAUUUUGGGCAGGGUUUUGUAAGUUUGUUUUUUGUGUAUUUUGUAGCUGUAACUUGUAACGUGAAGUACUAUAGAAUAACAGUUUGAAAAGAUAAAUUGUAACGUGAAUUGGAGGUUGAAUCUUAACUACAUCGUUAGAUUUGAUAGUGAAAUAUCUAUGCUUUAACUUUAAUGCUUUCCUAAUUAAUGCUAAUAAAAUUUUGUUUAUAGAUUGUGUUAUUUUACUAAAAUGUUGGUGGUUUAUGGUAGUGAAAGAGUGUUGUUUUUUUUUUGUGGAAUGUACAAUCUUCCCCAAAGAUGACUUCAACUUUCAAGCUUGAGGAAUGAACUGUGGCUCAUAAAGAAGAUUGAAAAAUUAGCACAAUUAUGAGAUGGGACCAUCAUGAACAUUACGCAAUGCCAAACGUUAACAAACGACAAAUGCAGUUUUCCUGGCAUUUUAUUUCCAAUAAAAUAUUUUGGAUUAACAUAUUAGUUUGGGCUACAAAUGGUUUUACACAAUAGAACCUAAAAGGAGUAAUUAGGCAUGGGCGUUCGGUUCUUCGAUUCGGUUCUUUCGGUUCUUGGUUCUCUUGAUUUUUUCAGUUCUUGUAGUCUGGUAACCAUUAAAGAACCAUUAAAAUUUCGGGUCAUAUCAGAUCGGUUCUUUCGGUUCUCGGUUCUUGAAGUUUGGUAACCAUGUUAGAACCAGAAUAAAAUGGUUCCAAUUGGGUUCGGUUAUUAAUGGUUACUUUACCCAAAUUAAUCUGAUGUAUUUGCAAAUAAUUGAAUCAAAACUAAUACCAAAAUAACAUUCAAACGAUUUUCUCAUUCAUACACCACAAUCCAAAUUGUGCGAAUAAAACAUCCAAAAAACACAAGUUUACCAAAAUAAUAUUCAAACGAUUUUCUCAUUCAGAAACCACAAUCCAAAUUAUGUGAAUAAAACAUAAAAAACACAAGUUUUUUAAACAAGCAAACGCCAAAGAGUUAAAAAUAAAACAUUCAAAAGUGGAAAAACACCAAUCCAGCAGAGAAAACCAUCAAGCAUCCAAUAAGUACCUGUUACAAUAUGUAACUAACAAAAUUAGAAAUGAAAAACUCAAACGAUGAAACACAAAACCCAUAAAUGGAAGAAUCGUAGGAACUAAGCUAAAACUAACGUAAAGACAAAAGAGACUAUGAGACACAAUAUUUUACCAGAAUCUCAUCAUAUUCUCGUUUUCCAGAACUAAGUUGGAAGUUGAAGAGAUUUUUUUGGAGAAUCAAAACUGUGAAUGAAAAAAAAAAUUCAAAAUUUUGAAAGUGUAUAAACUGCUGAUCAAUAAAAAAAAGUAAGAGUAUAAAAAAAUAAGAGUAUACACUAUAAAGAUAUUAAUGUAUAAGGUAACUAUAUAAGGGUUUUUUAUCCGGUUCUAUAUGGAUAUUAUUCGGUUCUCGGUUCUGUACGGGGCCGGUUCCGGUUCUUCGGGUAUAAAAUUUUAGUACCCAAUUGAAUAAUUCAUAAAUUUGGGUUUAGUUCGGUUCAGAUUUUUUUUCGGGUCUGUUUGGUUUGGCACUUCGGUUCCCGUUUUUUUGCCCACCCUAGGAGUAAUGAUGGUUUAGUUAUUUUCUAUGAAGGUUUAUUGGUAGAGUCCUUCGUAGGUGAACAUCCAGAUUACUUAUAGACUAGCUAUGCCGUGUUUUAUUGUGAUUAUGGUCAUCAUGUACCAUAGCACCGUCAAACGGUGUGGAAGAGGUUAAUGAGGAUCACAGUUAAUAGGAAGAAAGUGUGGAGUAUGGUUUGGGAUUUUAAUGAAAUCUUGCUGAUAAUUUUGGUAAAGCAACAUGAGCAGACUUACGUUAUGAUCAAUAAUGUCAUGUGCCCCCGGCUAAAUUUUUUUUUUUUUAAAGUUAACUAAUCCAAAUAAAAAUGCGACGUAGAACGCAAGUACCCUAUUGAUUCUGAAAAUGCCUAGGAAACAUUGCUCUUUCGAACUCAUUGAGAUUCACCGAUCUACCGAAAACAAAUAUUCUCCUUAGGGCUUAACAAAAUCUCUUUAUAGGAUACCAAACCCAUUAAAUGGUUAAGGAGUCAUUUUCAAAAUAGAUUGUUGAUAAUUUGACAAACACAAAAGUCUAAAGAUUGCAAUACGAGUAAAACGACAUGUUUAUCUUUAUUUUUUUCAAUCUUUUAGUUUAGAUUUCAAAUAGUCUUUUUUUUUUUGGCUGCAAAUAUGUACUAAAUGAAAAUAUUGUAAAUAUUUUAUUUCUGAUUGAAUACAGUAUUAAAUGGUCGCCUAGCCGCCCUCUCCUCGAUGAGAUAACCUAUCCUCUUGUCGUUUCCUUACCAAAUCCAAACCUCAAACCAAUUCUGCCUGAGUUCGUUGUUAAUUUACUCUGUAAUCCAAUCUUACCUUCUCUCUCGAUCAUGGAUCCAUCCAAAGUUUUCACCUUUUCCCGGAACUUCGCCGUCUUGGUCAAACUCCAAGGCCCUGUAAUCUCUCUUCCCCCAUCUCACCCCAAUUCGUAUAAUCUUAUCUUAUCGAAACGAAGGGAUUGUUGAUGAUUCUGUGUUUAUAUUGAAGGACCCAAAGGGAUUAAAGAUGAGGAAACAUGCUUUUCACCAAUACAAGUGAGCAUACUCAUCUCAAAGCUUCAAACUUUUUUUUGUUUCUAUCAAUGUGUCUGAAACUUUUAUGUGUGUUUUUUUGGGGGAAGUUCUGGGAAUACAACACUUUCAGCUUCUGGGAUGUUGUUUCCAAGAAGUAUCUUGACUGGUGAUGUCUCAGCCAAGCUUUUGUGUGAAGAUGGUCAGGACAUGGCGCUGGUUUUGACUGUUGCCUCUCUUGUUGAGCCCUUCUUAACGUUGGGACAUAGAACUAGCAUCUCUCAGGUUAGAUAUACAUGAUUAAGUUGGCUUUCAGUGAGCUUGAUGUGCUAGUUUAAUAUUGGUGUCAUUUUUUUCUUGUAAAGGAGCCGGUGAAGUUGAUUCCUGGUGCUCGGAUUGAGAUUAUGGUGGAGGUAUGAGCGUAGCUUAUGUUGAAUGGUUGAGUGUUUUUGGAGAUUUCAGGGUGUGAUACAAUACAGAUACUUAUUCUUGUCAGGGUCAGUUAAACUCGGAGAAGGAAGAUCCUUUUUGGGUUCCUGCGCAACUUCUUUCCCUGGUAUGUUUGAAAUUUAUAGUCUUUCUUGCUAUUUGAAGCACUCUUGUUACCUCCCUGUGGGUGAUGGUUUAUGAAGCUACUGAAAUUGAGAUUUCCUCCAAAUAUCUAAUAGCUCCAACUCCCCGGCAACGGUGCCAAAUUUGAUAUCACUCAAAUUAUCCUAACGAGUGAAUUACUUUCUCAAAUAAGAGAUUCAAUCGUAGUACUUAGGGAUCGAAUCCACAAGGUGCUAGGGAACUAUAGAAAUCAAGGUUAUGCUAGGCAAACAAGUUUAAUAGGUAAUAAAUAUGAAAACAGUAAAUAAAUAAAAGCAAGGUGAACAAAGUAUUUGUUCGAUUGGUUGAUUGAGGUUGUAAAGAGUUAGGAGAAAUAGCUAGACCUAGGGAUUUAUCAAUCAAGAGAUUCAAAACUACAAUUCAAAGAUGCUAAUGGUUUAUAGAUUAAUUCUAGAACUCGAUUUUAAUAAGUAAGCAAUCCAGUUUUCGCAUGCAAUUGAUAAUCAGAUGUCUAAGUCCAGUCUCAGUUGUCGCUUGUUGACUUUGAGCGAGUGUCGAUCGAUGCUAUGGCCUGAGCAUCGAUCGAUACUUCGUUAGACAAGCAUUAACGACCUAAUCGAUUUAGUUCAACUAGAUUCAUAGAUCAACUCUCGUAUGCGCCUAUGUAUCUAAUCCAGCGAAGUUAGGGUUCCGUUAAUUGAUUGCAUUUUCGUGCCUCUCAACUAUCCUAUGAUUCAAGGUUCAAACAAUUAGUCACACUGUCGUGCUAUUCUAAUUUUUUUCUAACGGUAUAUCCCACUUCUAAUUUUUAAUUAAUAUGCUACAAGGUUGAUGUCCCUGCAUCUUCUGCUGCACUCCAGUCUCUUAUUGAGACUUCUGUUGGUUCAAAAGAUUCUGGUUGGGAUGUUGGUUGGUCUUUGGUCUCUGGUGAUACCGUUUCUCAGCCUUCAACCAAUGUAAGUCAAAUGACUCUUUGAUGGCUAGCUAGUUUUUUUGCAAAGGAAACAUUCUGAUCAAAUAGAAUUUCUGCCUGUAAUCUCUCGAGUAAAUAGAAGAUAUGAAGCGUUAUUUUGUAUUUUCUUCUUUGAAAUGAAAAUAUUCUUUCUACUUUACUGAGAUUCAGUUCUCGAUACUUCUUCCAGAUGAAACAUUACAGCAAGCCCUUGAUGCAACGUGAUGAGCCAAAUGAUGCUAAGUUUAUGGCCAAGUCUGCCACUCGAAUGGCUCUUCUAGGAGUCUCUUUAAGCUUAUUGGUAAUUAUUUUACUCCCCAUUGCAUUCUUUCUGAUUUAUAAUUCAUCUUAGUGAUACAGUGCCUUUAUAAUCUAUGUCUAACCAUUUUAGAUUAAUACUUGGUGAUGCAAUUUCUGUGAAUCAGGAUCAGCCAAACAUAUCUCUCGCUUCCCCAAGUAGCAAGGGUGAUACACUCUUAACACUUGGCUCUCCUUUUGGGAUCCUUUCUCCUCUACACUUUUUUAACAGGUAGCGUUGCUACAUUUUAGUCAGUUAUAGAUCAUCAGAAUCACCUUUCAACGCUGAGAAUCUAAAACUGAUUUGUAACAGCGUAUCAACUGGUUCCAUCUCAAACUGCUACUCGUCUGGAUCGCUAAAGAACUCACUGAUGAUAGCUGAUGUUCGAUGUCUCCCUGGUGUGUAGUAGUACCCUUUUCAGUAGUUCAUAUAUAUGUAAUGCUUUAUUUGUCUCUUCUCAAGUAGCUAAAAUUUGUUUUGGUUUCUUUCAGGUAUGGAAGGAGCUCCGGUGUUUGGUAAGAAUGGUCACUUAAUUGGCAUUCUGAUUCGACCGCUAAGGCAAAAGAACAGUGGCGUUGAAGUCCAGGUUUGUCAACGCCUACUCCACUUCGUUUGUGUUCAUUGAAAUUUUAUUGUAAUGUUUCAUACAAAACUGUAGCCUUCGGUAGCAGCUGGUGGUUCCAUGGGGAGCAAUCACAGCAGCUUGCAGCCACUUACUGCUUAAGGAACCAUCCGAUGAGAUAUUACGUAUCAAACCAGAUGCUAGUAUUCCUGUACAAGUGGCUGUUGGGAAAGCGAUGGAAUCGAUUUGUCUUAUCACGGUUAACGACGGUGUCUGGGCAUCCGGUGUUGUUCUCAACGAACAAGGUCUCCUACUAACAAACGCUCACCUUCUUGAGCCGUGGAGGUUUGGAAAAGGUGGCGUAGUAUAUGGUGAAGGAAACGACAAUGGUUUAAGACCGCAUGUCUUAGGAGCUCAGGAGUUUUCUUCCACGAGAAGUAGAUUUUGGGAACAGGAGAGUCAUACAUCCCCACGAAAAGCUCCAGCAGAUCUUCAUGUCAAGAAGUACAAGCACAAUUUCCUUCAGAGUGGGCAUAGAGACAUACGUGUACGAUUGUGUGAUCAAGAUUUUUGGACUUGGUGUCCUGCUAAAGUGGUCUAUAUCUGCAAGGAGCAGUUAGAUGUUGCCUUACUGCAGCUAGAAGAUGUUCCUGGAAAGCUCCCACCUAUUGCUGCCAACUUUUCUUCUCCUCCUUUGGGAACACCGGCACAUGUUGUUGGACAUGGACUCUUCGGACCUAGAUGUGGUAAAAGAUUUCGUUAAUACCAAGAUUAUCUUGUUCAAUCUGAUUUGUUAAUCAGUUCUGUUUACUAAUAUUUCUGAUAUGUGAAUAGGGCUUUCUCCUUCUGUUUGUUCCGGAGUUGUAGCAAAGGUAGUUCACACAAAGAAGAGAUUGUAUACGCAACCCUGUUUUCAAGAUGCUACAGAGUUCCCUGCAAUGCUAGAAACAACAGCUGCUGUGCAUCCUGGUGGUAGUGGUGGUGCUGUUGUCAAUUCAAGUGGCCAUAUGAUUGGACUUGUUACCAGGUAAACAGAAGAUCAUUCUCAAACACAGUUUGUACACGAGAUGAAUCAUUAGAUUAGACAAAGCUAACACAAGAUUAAAGUCUUCUUUAAUCAGAUUGUAGUUGAUUUGUUCAUCGCUUUGCUUCCAGCAGAAUGUUUAUGUUUUUGUUUGUAUCUGCAGCAACGCAAGACAUGGAGCGGGGACAAUUAUACCGCAUCUCAACUUCAGCAUCCCAUGCGCAGUCUUAGCACCAAUCUUCAAGUUUGCACAAGGUUUGUCUAAUCUUGUUUGUUCUUUGGCAUAUGGAAACAUAGCGGAGAGUAGUAGUAAGUGUUUGCUUGUCGUCUUGUAAACAGAUAUGCAAAACAUGGAGAUCCUACAAACACUAGAUCAACCAAACGAAGAACUCUCAUCAAUAUGGGCUUUGAUGCCAUCACUGUCACCAAAGCCUAAGCCAAACACUGCGCACUAUCUACCAAAGUUACUGAAAGAUGUUAAUAACAAACAAAAGAAAGGAUCACAGUUUGCCAAGUUCAUUGCAGAGUCCCAAGAGAUGUUUGUAAAGCCGACCAAGCUUUCCCGCGAUGUGAUCCCAAGCAAGUUAUGACAAAAUGGCAUUCUUUGCAGGGUUUGUAUCUUCAAUUUCUCCUUUAGCUUGUGGAUGAAGAUUACAAUGUGCUGGUACUGUUUCUGGAUUCCUCUGCUUGUAACAUAUUUAAACACUUGUGACACGAUUGCAACUGUUUAUCAAUCCUCAUUCUAUAUUUCUUGCAUCAACUUUCCCUAGCGGCUAAAUCCGAUUUUUGAACAGAAACCACAACUGUUUAAACUAUUCAUAAUUGCUUACUUUUUAGAUCGGUUGUUUUUUUUUUUUUUUUUUUUUUUUGUCACAGAGAUCGGUUGUUAUAUUACUAAGACUAGACGUUCAGGUCAACAUUUAGACUCAAUUGGGUAUUUGAAUUUUUUUGGUUUGUGUCUGGAUGGAUUAAAAUUCAAAAACUUCAAAUUCAAAAAAUUCAAGUACCUAAAAAUAUCAAAUUAUCAUCAUGAAACUUGAACCGGAAUUUUAUGUAAAAAAUAUUUUUGAAAAUCUACCUGAAACUGUAUCCGAAAAUCAACUUGGAACUUUAAAAAUAUACAUAAUAUUGAAAAUAUAUCCAAAAUAUUCAAAUACAUUUAGAUACCCAACCAUGUUUUUGGUAGGAUCUGGACCUGAACCAAAAUCCAUAAACUCAAAAUAAAAAGACCCAGUAAAUAUUUAAGCAUAGAUCUUGACCUGAACAAAUGCCCAUGCCUAACUAAGAAGUAAAAGCUGCGAAACAGUAAUCGAGACAUGGGUUGAAGUAUUGAAAGUUUGAAACACAUCGAGCUAAGCAUGUUCUCUUGGAAUGACUUUCAGAGUGAUUGAAGGUCUCAUACCACGUGACGUUGUCCGAUCGUUUCUAAGUGGGUUGAUUUUUUCUAUCAUAAAACAUACUUUAUGCAAACAUUAUUUUAUUUUAUAGGAUAGUAAUUUACAGGAAAUUCAUAGUGAGAAAAUAUCAUAUGCGCUGAAUACGUUCUAAAAAACCGGGGCCUCUAGCUCUGGUAGUAAAGGACCCUCAGCUGAGGUAUCUGCCAUCACGAGUUCGAAUCCCGGCCACCAGGAGAUUAAAAUUUGAGCAUCGCCGACGACACAGAUUAGUUUCUUGGGCUUAGGUAGCCUUUGGAGAAACUCUAUAAUUCAAAAAAAAAAAAAAAGAAUACGUUCUAAAUCAUUUAUUAGCGUUGCCGGGAGAAAACAUCUAGAUCAUGUGGAUCUCAAUGUUUAUAUUAGAGAAUUUGUACUUCCUACACACAACAUCUACCCUAUUUGCACUCUAUACCUUAUUUCCCUCCAAUUUUCUUCCCCCCAUUCUAUGGUAUCCCAUUUUUUUUAGUAUAUUGAGGUAAUUUGCUCUAUUACAUUCUUGAUAACCUAAAUGAAGAAUAUAUAACUCAAAUGUCAACGUAGCAAACGCCAGAGGAACCCCAAUAUCAUUUGUCGAGCUUCAUCAGAAUCGAUUGAGCCCAGAUGUUGAUCUCUUGCAUCUCUAAUCUGAAUUCCUAAACUGAUAUUAAAGCCAGGUUGACACGAUGGACGGUUUCCCACGUUAUAAAUGAUACUUCCUCCGUUCUUUAAUGAUAGAUUUUUUAGAAAAAAAAUUUGUUUCAGAAAUAUGUAUUUUUUGUGUUUUUUAUGAAAAAAUUGUAAAUUUCAAGAAAAUUAAUUGACUUUAUUGUAUUACUAUUGGUUAAAAGUUAUUGAAAAUUAAAAAUUACAGAAAACAAUACAUUUAUUAUGAUAGUUUAGUGUGUUUUCUUAAUAUAUGUAAAAAUACUAAAAAGUCUAUCUUUGUGAAACGGAGAGAGUAUGUUUUUAGCAGUGUUUUGAAAUGAUGGAUCGAGGAACUAAUAUCUGCAAUCAAAAUUUUAUAGUAAACUCAAAACAGUAAGAUUUAUCGAUACAACAUAAAGAAAUUGUAUGAACAGAUCUUUAGUAAGCUAGUUUUUUUUUUAGAACUGGAUUAGAUCGAUAAUGAAUAUGAUAAAUACAGAAGAUAAGGUCAAAUAGAUAAUACAAUUACAAAAAAGUAUAUCUAAUUUUUUUAGUGAAUUCUUAAUGUUGUUUCUCAAAUGAUGUGCUUGUCUUGUCUUUUACAUUGUUCAACUCGAUCCAGCUACUCUUGCAUCUCAAGUUUACGUGUCAUGCCUUGUUUCAUGGAAAUCGAGUUGUUAACUAACCGUUUGAUCAUAAGGUAACUUGGUCUUACCACUAUUGUGAUGUAAAGCUCACUAUCUCAAACUGCAAAAUAAUUGUAAGACAAAAAUAGCUGAACUUUGCUGAUGAGCUAUAUAUUUGUUAAAUAAAACCUGUCUCUAAUAGAAUUUUAAGGUGCCGGCUUUAUAUGUUAAAUCAUUCUCCGAUUUCUCAGCUUCUAGUUUAUUAAGUUCCUGGUAGAUGUCUGCAUAUAUACUAUACCCCUUUGAUCUUGAGUGGUGAAUCUCAAGUUACAAAAAAGCAGUUUGUUUCACACAGUGGCGGUCCGGAUCUGAAUGGUUCCUAAAGCGCAUAAAAAAAAUCUGCCCCAGUUAGAUCUUUUCGCAUUUUCGAUAUGCAAUUAGAACCAUGCAAAAUAUCAUUGUAACCCUUUAAUAUUUUCGUGAUAUCAUUGAUAACUCAUUUUAUUGUGUACAUACUCGGACAAACUAAUUUUCUAUAAACUUUUGUUUUUAAAUACAGAAACUAAGGUUGGAAGUACUAACAAUAUACGGUAAAAAAUCCUUUGUAGAUAGCAAUCAUCUGUUCAACUUGUAAAAAGUUAUGAUAUUUCUAAAAAAAAUCAGAACUAGAACCUAAUUCAUAAUAGCUUUAUGUUUGUUUAAAUUUUAGAAAAUUUUAUCGUUACUUUUUUUUUAUAAAUUCUUAAAACAAAUUACAAUAAUCACAAAAAAAAUUUGAAAAUAAAACUUACAUGGAAAAUUGGGAGAUGGAACAACAAUCAAUGGAAGACGUUACAAAUAUUUCAGAAAUAAAUAGCCUUAAGAGCUAAUUUAAUAUUUAUUUUAUACUUUAUAUUCAAUAAAUAAAAGUAACUACAAUAGUUACGAAAAACAAUAAGAUUCUUCAUAAAAAUGAUCGUAUAUUGAUAAAAAGAAUAAAGUAAAAUUCUUGUCAUCAUUAUCAAAAAGAAGAAAAUGAAGAGAAGGAAAAUAAAAGUAGAAGAAGUAAGAAUCGAAUCAACAAUCAAUAGGAUAAGAAGGGAAGUACACAAACUACUACACUAAUGAGACCUACUAGCAUUUGGUGUCCGUUGUUAAUAAUCCAUGUCGCCUAAAGUAUUUGCUUUACGAGUUUUAACCCAGGGCCGGCCCUUUCACAUCUUUAGAGAUUUCGCUUUGAUCACAAUAAUAAUUGAAACGAAGUUACAUCAUUUUAUAAUGAGCAGCGAUUUGAUAGGUUGAUAGCGAUGGACGGUGAAAAAAAACAAGGUGAAAUAAAAUGUGUAUUUUUUGUUUUGGUCGCAACUCUUUUUUGAAUCUGUUUCACUUUUUCUUUAACGUAAUUCGUUAUCAAUCAUCUUUUUAAUUAUUAUUUUUUUAUUAAUAUGAUGUAUCUCAGAUAUAUGAAAGAAUCCAGACUGAUUUUUGAGGAAAUGUGUAGUUUAUGGAUAAAUUCUUUUUUUAAUAUUCAAAUGUGACGAAAAUAAAAGUUCAUAUUCAUGUGGAUGUCUACGAGCAAUUAACUUGAUUUAAUUUUUGAAACAGAUGGAUCAAACUUGAAACGUGUUGUCUUCUCUUGUUACCAGUUGGCCACUACCAAUUAUUUUUGUAUAGAUUUUUCUUUAAAGUACCAAAAUAAAACAUUGUUUAAUUUAUAUUUAUCAUUCGACAUAUUUUGUUUGUUUGCUUUUAAAGGGAUCCAUUUUUUUGAUUGUCUGGAAGUAAAUAAAAAUCUUCCUUCUUUUCUUUUUGAACAAUUAAUUUAAUUUAAUUUUUGAACCAGAUAGAUCAAACUUGAAACUUGUUCUUUUCUCUUGUUAUCAGUUAACCACUACCAAUUAUUUUUGUAUAGAUUUUAUUUUAGGGCUAUUUAGGUGAAUAUACAAAAUGUGUGUGAUAAUUGCAGAUCUAUGCAUUUUUUUAAUUAUUUGCAGAACCAAGUAAUUUUUGUGCUGAUUUGCCAAUUAUGUCUUCGAACUGAGACGUAUUUAAUGACCUGCUACUAGGGUUGAGGAACAAAAUUGAUUUUUAUUACAAGUGAAUAGGAAGCGUAAUCUAUGAACUAAACCGGUUACAUUUGAGAUACUUGAAGUACUUAGAUAUUGAAACCGGAUAUAUGUUCAAUAAUUAAAAAGCGAUGAGUUGUAACAUAUUUUUCAAAAAGUGUGGCGCAAAUGUGAUUAAAAUGAAGAUAUUUUUAUACCCAACUAAGAUAUUUUAUAAACGCCAAAUAUUUUAUACACUUGUAAGAUAUUUUACAAUCCGGAUACAGUGUUAAUAAUUAUUUGAGAUACUUGAAGUAAUAAGAUAAUGAAACCGGAGUGUUCAUAAUUAUUUUUCGGGCCCUUCGAAACCUUUAAUUACAAUAUGUAUAUAUGUUAUGGUUAUAGUUUCACUAGUUAUUAAAUAAUAACUACACUAUACUUACGGGACAAGACUGACGGGAUCUUGAAGUCGCUUGGUUGUUGGUAUGAAGAAGAGGUGCACCUGGAGGAAGGUUAGAUUUAUCAUGAUGGGAGAGUGCAUCCGUUCCCUGUCAAAUAAUGAAAUUUGGAUGUUAAAAUAACCCUAUUAACGAAGACAAGAUACAUAGAAACUCCUAUAUUAAUUAGGAAGCUGUAAUGAUUGGCGGAUAACCUUUUUUCUCGGAUUUUAUUAUUAGCAACUCAAUACUAAAUUAAGGUGGUUCCCAACAUUAUUGAAUCCUUACUUCAAUAUCUUCACGUGCUAGUGAAGUGAAUUGAUGGUUGUUUUCACCCAGACGACUACUCUUUGGUACGGAAGAAUUUUUUUCAUGAAAAAUGGUGGCCGAAACCUAAAAUUGUAUUCAGAAGACGGAAAUAACCGGUUACAAAUAUAUGUUACUGGAAUAGUUUAUUAUUGUUAGUUAUAAAACGAUGAUUCUUACAUAGAUUUGUUUUGGUGAUCCGGGAGGGGUCGAAUAAUGAGAUUUGCAGACAUAUUUUGCAGAUAGAACUAAGAAAUGAGAUUUACUUUUACAGAGAGACAAUAUAUUGAAAUAUGAAUUGUAUUAAAUCUCUUUGGGUUUUUGCUGGAAAGAGAAAGAGUAUUUGAACAUUCUCGAUUCUUUGCAUUAUUAUCAUUUUAUCUCCCUGUGCAACAGUCUCUUUAAAUUCUUUGCAUUAAUAUUAUUUUUCUCUGUGCAACCGUCUGUUCAUCUGACGUCUAACAUGUUGUUUAAUUUACUUUUCUAAUAGUAACAGAGACACUUUGGUAUUACUUCAAAAUGUACAGUACCUUUACCACCUAUCUAAUUUACAUCUCUUUUUUUGCUAUCCAGUGCAAUUUCCUUUUAUUUUAAGUGCUGAAAUAAAAUAUUGUUUAAUUUAUAUUUACCAUUCUACAUAUUUUGUUUUCUACAUAUUUUGUUUGUUUGCUUUUUAAAGGGAUUCAUUUUUGUGAUUGUCAGAAAGUAAAUUAAAAGCUUCUUUCCGUUUUGGAACAAUUAAUUUGAUUGUUUGAUAAAAAAAAAACAAUUAAUUUGAUUUAAUUCUCGAAACAGAUGGAUCAAACUUUGAAACAUGUUGUCUUUUUUCCUUACUAGUUGACCAUUACCAAUUAUUUUUGUAUAGAUGUUUCAUUUAAGUGCCAAAACAACGCAUUUUUUAAUUUUUAUUUACCAUUUUACAUAUUUUGUUUGUUUGCUUUUUUAAGGGAUUUUUUUUUGACAAAAAAAGGAUUUUUUUGUUGUUGUGAUUGUCUAAAAGUAAAUAAAAAGCUUCCUUCCUUUCUUAUAUAUUAAAAAUAGUAUCCUUCUUUCUUCAAUCUUACAACCAUUUAAAACUAUGUACAACAUCAUCCUUUUCUUUGUCUUUGUAUUCGCAAAAUCUUGGAUAUAAACAAAACCAAACAUUCCUUUUCUUGUUUUGGUAUUAUAACUGAAUAUGCUACUUUAAUAUCGAUUGUGAUGCAAUGGAAUAGAAAAUCAACUGCCAAUCAAACUGUGAGAACAGUGUCGAAGAAAACAACAAAAUAAAUAUUAAAUAUAAAUAUUAAAAAAAUGUAAAUAUUAAAUAUUUUCCUCUUUUGGCUAAAGUUUAUAAGGAAAAGAGCAAUCUAGAGGAAGACAAAGUAACAUAGACUUCGAGAAAAUAGAAUGAGUUCGGGGCAUUAAAAAAUUAACCAUAUGACAAAAAGUUAAAUAAAGACUUCAUAUUUUGCAGUAAUUAACUUAAAUAUAGAAGGGAACGUUAGGGGAGAAGAGAAAAUCCCCUUGAAGUUCUACAAAAUUCGUGAGUUUCCCUAUGCUAAUGCUUUUGCUUUUCCCUUUUGUUUUCACUCUGCCUCCCCACAUGCAUCGUUGUAAAUAAAUAGUACUAGUAUAUACUAACACAUACUAUACACUAACACAUACUAGUCGCAUAUGCACUAGAGUAUGUAUGUGUAACGUAGACUCUUCAAGCUCUAUAUUAUAAAAAUCAAUUUAUACGUGUCGCGCUCACGUUAAUUCUCAAGAUAAUUAAUUAUGCUGAUAUCUUAACAAAAUUUAAAUUAUUGAAUAUUAUGGCGGACAAACUAACACAAAUUACUAGAAAUCUACCUUCUGCUAAAGGGACGAAACCAUAAAUGCUUUUAUAAUGGAUGCACAAACAUUAAAUAAAAUAUUAAACAAAACACUAAACAAAAUAUUUUAGAUAUAUAUUAAAAAAUAUUUUUUUAAUAAAAAAUAAAAUAAUCAUUUAAAAAUAACAUUUCAUUCGAUUUCGUAAAAUUGUUUUCACUAUUUUCAUUGUAGAGAAAUAUAUUUUAAUACUUAUCGUUGCAACUGGUAAAAUUAAAAUCAACUUAAAAAACCUAUACACCAAAAAUAAAAAUUAUUAGAUAAUAAACUAUUUUUUCAUUGUCAAGAUAAAUCUAAUUAAAACUGAAAACGUAACAUAGUUUAAACAUGCAAUUUAUCAAAAACAUGAUUAAUGAAACGUAAAUAAAUUACAAACUUGUAAAACCUGCAAAACCAUCAACUGUAGUCAAGAGUAAAGCCACUUCUAUGACUUUUGGAACUACUGAAUCAAAAUCUUAGAUGCUAUCUAAAUAAUUACUACUAGUAAAUAUUGUUUAGAACAACUCAAAGCAUUAACAUAGAGAUUAUUAAACUAGUUACCAGUUUUGUAUGGUAGACAAGAGAAUAAAACUUGUCAAUUUGAUUUGAUGGUUGCACUUGUGUGUUUAAGAAUAAAAGAUUAAAAGAUUAAUUUUUUGAGCGAACUGUUAGGAUUUUAACAACACAAAAUAGAGAAUACUAUUAGACUUUAAAGAUAAUUUUAAUUUUUGAUGGGGUAAAUUAUGUUUAGUUUUUUCAUUUGGGCUUAAUGUAAAUUUUAGUGGAUGCACUAUCAUGAAUUAUAGUGGGUGCAUAUUUAAAAUUCCUUAACAAUUACAUUAAUUUUUUAUAAAAAUUAUGGGUGCAUGUGCACCCUUUCUCUACUGAGUGGUUUCGCCCCUAUUCUGCUAUGGUUUAUGUUGAUUCAGUUCCCUUUAGAUGUCUUUUGGAUCAAAAAUCUGCUUAGUUUCGUUUUGACUUUUGUUGUAAAACAAAAAUUAAAAGUAUUAUGUACUUGUCAUUAUCAAUAUUUCUAUUUUUAGUUUUUAUUAAUAAAUUUUAUUUUAUUUUCCAAAAAAUAACAACAAAGGAAAAUUUCUAUAAAUCUUUCUAAACCUAUUUGAUUUUUUUUAGUCAUUAUUUUUUUUUCUCUUUUUUGACAGCAAACAUUUACAGAGUCUACGUGACUCUGUAAACCAAGGUGGUAAAUCUGCAUCUAUGUGCACGACAAAAGAUGGUUGUUGCCGAACAUUACGUGCCAAGCUAUCCGCCCUUUUGUUCUCCAUCCUAGGAACAUGAACGAUUUCUGAGUUGACAAAACUUUGUUGCAAAAGCUUAAUAUCUUCCAGGUAGCUUUCAAAUGCUGGUCAUUCCUCUAGUUCUGAAACCAUCUUCACCAGUUGAGAACAAUCCGUUGCAAACGUAACCUGAAACUGCAUUAAAUUUCGCAGACAUUCCAUUGCCCAAAUUAAUUUGUACUUUUUUUACUUGUUAUUCCCUUUUUAUAUUGGUUUCUAAAUCAUAUAUAUAUAAAAAAAUAUUUAUAAAAUUGUAAAACGUGGAUAUAUUUUAUAAAUAAUUUCAUUUCACAAAAAAAUAUAAGCAUGAUAUUUUAAAAACUAUAAGCAAUAUAAACGUGGAUAUAUUUUAUAUAUAUUUUAAAAAUAAUUUGAUUUCAAGUUUACCCCACAUUAUAAAUAUUUCUUUUGGAUGAUUUUUUUGUAACUGAAGUUUUGUAUUUUUCCUUUAUUUAUUUAUUCUUGUUUUAAAAAGAAACUAUAUUUUAAAGAAAUAACUAUAAAAAUUAAUAUAAUAUAUAUAAAUUCAUCUUAUAAUAAAGAAUAAUCCAAAAAAUAAGCUUGAUAAAAUAAAUAAUUUUCCCCUCAAAACAUAACUAAACAACAUAAUAGAUAUUAAAAUAAUUAAAAUAAUAAGAUAAUAUUAUUUAAAAUAAUCAAAUGCAACUAAAAAAUAAUUUAAAAUAUGACAUAAAUCAAUUACUACAUUUAAUUAAUUUUUAAAUAUUAGUAUCCAUGCAUGAGCACGGGAGAAUCAUCUAGUACAUACUUAUCUGAAAAAGUAGAUGUUCCGUAUGUGUUGGUAAUUUAUAUUUAAGAAUAUAUUUUUGGUGAUAUAGUGAAAAAAAAUAGUACUAGGAAAGUAUAUCAGGUCGUACGUUUGUCUUGAGCUUGCAAAACAAAAUAAACAAAAUAAAGUUUCAUGCUAGUUUUUAUUCUUCUUGAACUUGAAUAGUGCUUCUUGCUGUUCCUAUACUCUUAGUACAAUUUAUGCAACUGUUAUAUGGUUCACCAUAGCUAUAAGGUUGUAAUUGUUUUGGUAACUCGAUGUGUUAGAAAAUCUUAUUUGUUUUCUGGUUAUAUAGACCAAAUUUAGUCCAAUGCACAGUAAAGGCAGUAGAACAAAACACCCGGCUUGGGUUUCAAAUUUGGGAAAAUUGAAUAAAUAGGACACUUUGAAUUUUUAUUUGUCAAACUAGGAUUUUUUGGGUAAUUCUAGACAUAGUUUACCUUUCUUUUAUAGAAAAAAUAGUAAACUGAAUUUUAAAAAUUUUAAAAUAUGAAAACUAUUGGAAACAUAAGUAUGACAAUAUAUAUGUUUAAAAGUUUUUUUUAAGUGGAAUUAUAUUUUAUUUUAUCUUCUAGCUACAGUUAGAAUACUCAUUCUGGUCAUCUACUUAGUCUAGAAAUCGGAUACUAAGUUUUAUACAUAGAUAUAUCCUGGGUAUACAACGUAAAUUAGCCUUUCUUAUAUAUUCUAAUUAAGAAAGAUGUCUUUAGUAUACAUACAGCUUGAUAACGACAUAUAGCCACAACGCAGUGAUAUACCUUAUCUAUAUUUUGUGCCAUAACAUGUUCUGCCUUUUACCUUAUGUGGCGCUUAAAGAAGAAUAUGUUUCUCAUAUACUCUACUGUGUUCAGCGUAAGCUAGGAUAUAUAUUCUAGGGAAAUCCGGAAAAUAUGAAAGCUUCCAUAUUCGGUUAAAGAUGUUUCAUAAAUCUAAACUAAAUCUUCCCUAAUUAUCUCAUAGAAUAUUUUCUCCCACGUUUUUCUCCUUCUCCCAUGAUCUUUUCUCUUCGUUCUUUGUAUUUCUCUCUUCUUCAUCGACAUAAUCAUCUCUUUUCUCUAUCAAUACAACAUGAUUCUAAUUUAUGUUAAAUCUGGUGAAUGGAUGUCUCGUUGCAGUGAAGAGUGGACUUUCGUGGUAGACAAAGAAAAGCGGGGUCGAAUGGUAACAUUAGAAACUACUACUUCAUUGGAGAAGCUUAAGAUGAUGGUAUAUGAGGAUUAUGGGGUGGACCAUAAUGUUGUUAAUGUCGAGUUCAGUUAUUCAUUGUUGAACUCUCCAACAGGCUAGUCAUUAACAGUCAGAGGUUAAAACUCACAUGGGGAAGAUCUCACAUCCCAAAACAUGGUCAGUAUGGCUGGAAGUACCAACAAGGCAGUGUGGCUCAGAGUGUCUUACUAACUCCACCAAUGCAGCAGCAAUAUUAUAUGCACCCAGCACCACCUAACCAGGACAAACUUUAUUACCCAUCAAUGGAUCCGCAGAGAAUGGGUGGUUCAAGCAGCAGUGAGAACAACAUAGCUUACAUGAUGCCUCCACGACAGCCAUAACACUCCACCAUAUUGACAAAAUAUAUGUUGUUGAUCAUACUUAAAUAUGUAUUUUUUUUUUUGUGUUGAGAAAAAGAAAUUAGGGAAAACAGCUUGCGUUUUUUACCUCUUUGGAUUUUUUUUUUCUGUUUUUACUUUUUUUUUCUUUUAUAAAAACUUAAAUCAAUUACGCAAUAUUAAAAUUAAUUUGGUGAAUUGAAAGGUAUAAUGGUAUUAAAUAGAAUAUAAAUCUUAUUUAUUUAAAUAAUCAUCUACAAAUCUUAUUGGGACAAACUUAAGAUAAAAGUGUCAACAUGGACACUAUUUACAUAUAUGUAUCAUUUGAACCCAUAUGUAUCCUGGGUAUACAACGUAAAUUAGCAUUUCUUAUAUAUUCUAACGCAGCUAUAUUUCGAAAUGUUAUAAUCAAGAAGGAUGUCUUUAGUAUACAUACAGCUUGAUAACGACAUAUAGCCACAACGCAGUGAUAUACCUUAUCUAUAUUUUGUGCCAUAACAUGUUCUGCCUUUUACCUUAUGUGGCGCUUAAAGAAGAAUAUGUUUCUCAUAUACUCUACUGUGUUCAGCGUAAGCUAGGAUAUAUAUUCUAGGGAAAUCCGGAAAAUAUGGAAGCUUCCAUAUUCGGUUAAAGAUGUUUCAUAAAUUUAAACUAAAUCUUUCCUAAUUAUCUCAUAGAAUAUUUUCUCCCACGUUUUUCUCCUUCUUCCAUGAUCUUUUCUCUUCGUUCUUUGUAUUUCUCUCUUCUUCAUCGACAUAAUCAUCUCUUUUCUGUAUCAAUACAAUAUGAUUCUAAUUUAUGUUAAAUAUAGUGAAUGGAUGUCUAGUUGCAGUGAAGAGUGGACUUUCGUGGUAGACAAAGAAAAGCGGGGUCAAAUGGUAACAUUAGAAACUACUACUUCAUUGGAGAAGCUUAAGAUGAUGGUGUAUGAAGAUUAUGGGAUGGACCAUAAUGUUGUUAAUGUCGAGUUUAGUUAUUCAUUGUUGAACUCUCCAACAGGCUAGUCAUUAACAGUCAGAGGCUAAAACUCACAUGGGGAAGAUCUCACAUCCCAAAACAUGGUCAGUAUGGCUGGAAGUACCAACAAGGCAGUGUGGCUCAGAGUGUCUUACUAACUCCACCAAUGCAGCAGCAAUAUUAUAUGCACCCAGCACCACCUAACCAGGACAAACCUUAUUACCCAUCAAUGGAUCCGCAGAGAAUGGGUGGUUCAAGCAGCAGUGAGAACAACAUAGCUUACAUGAUGCCUCCACGACAGCCAUAACACUCCACCAUAUUGACAAAAUAUAUGUUGUUGAUCAUACUUAAAUAUGUAUUUUUUUUUUUGUGUUGAGAAAAAGGAAUUAGGGAAAACGACUUGCGUUUUUUACCUCUUUGGAUUUUUUUUUCUGUUUUUACUUUUUUUUUCUUUUAUAAAACUUAAAUCAAUUAUGCAAUAUUAAAAUUAAUUUGGUUAAUUGAAGGGUAUAAUGGUAUUAAAGAGAAUAUAAAUCUUAUUUAUUUAAAUAAUCAUGUACAAGUCUUAUUGGGACAAACUUAAGAUAAAAGUGUCUUUUUUUCCAAUUUUCCCUUCAAAUUUUGUAUGCAUGAAUUAUUUGGUUCUCAAACUAUCCAAAAGAAAUAAGAUUACUCAAUCUUAAACUGUAAUUAUUUCAAUUAACAUAAAUUUCAAAAUCUAUUUUCUACAUAUCUGUAUUUUACUAUUUACAUUUUUGCAUGGAUCAUUAUAUAUGUAUCAUUUGAACCCAUAAUUUUAUUUAGUUUCAGUGUAGAAUAAUUGUUUCAUAUAUUUACCAUUAAUCUAACCCCCUCUCCCCCCCCCUCCCCCCCCCCUCCCCCCCCCAAAGAAAAACUAUCCAAAAGAAAUUAGAUUACUCAAUCUUAAACUGUAAUUAUUUCAAUUCACAUAAAUUUCAAAAUCGAUUUCUACAUAGCUGUAUUUUACUAUUUAAAUUUUUGCAAUUAUUUCAAUUCACAUAAAUUUCAAAAUCAAUUUCUACAUAGCUGUAUUUUACUAUGUACAUUUUUGCAUGGAUCAUUAUAUAUGUAUCAUUUGAACCCAUAAUUUUAUUUAGUUUCAAUGUAGAAUAAUUGUUUAUAUUUACCAUUAAAGUAAGCCCAAUUGUUCUAUGUACGAGUUUGAGACCAACGUCGUUUACCCGCAUGUAGAAUUAACAAUUUUGCACUAAAGAAAAUCAAUCCUUGACCUAGACCGAGAUCACUACGAUGUGGUUAUUAACAAUUGUUCUUUCGUGUAUACUUUUAGUACUUGGUUCUGGCAUAUGAUAUAUAUUGAUUGAAUUUUGAAUUUUUGAGCAUUGAUUAAAUGCAGUUAAUAACUGCAAACAUGUAAUAAGAUGUCUUAUGAUUUCGUUUUCUUUUUUAUCAUUAACUUGGGAAUAUUACGGAUUAACGAAAGGGUCAAGACUAAUUUUCAAAUGGAGAUACAGUCUACAGAUGAACACUCUUUCUAAAUAUUCAAAUGGGAUUUAAUCAAUGGAUCCAUAUCUGCAUAACUACAUGUAGAAUUAACAAUUUUGCCGUGAAGAAGAAUUGUUCCAUGGUCUAGACCAAUAGGAUAACUUCUCGGGCAGUGGAAACCAUAAACUACCACAACGUGGUUCAUUAUAGAUUUUGUUUUGAUGCAUAUACCUAAAAUCUAAUUCUGUUUGUAUUUUAUUAGAGAAAAAGUGAAGUGAAGCAAAGAUAAUGUAAGGAAAGAGACGAGGGAGAAUAAAGUAAGAUUGGAAAUGUGAACCCAUUUGGAGUUGGCAGUGAGUGAGAUGGAACAUCACAUGCACUGAUGCUCUCUUUUGUCCCUUUCCUCCUGGAGCUUUCAUUUCUCGAAACCCUUCUUCUCAUUUGUUUCCUUGUCACUCUAAUCUUACCCCACUUAUUUAAUUCUUAAAGGUUCUGUAUUUUAUUUUCUCAUGCUAUUCAUGACUUAGUAAUGAUGUGAUAAUUUGAUCUACUACGCUUAAAGUCUCAAUUGUGGCAAUUAUGUUUGGACAUAGUGGCAAUUUCAGAAAAUUCUGCAUGAUUGUUUCCAUUAAUAUCGUAGUCACCCAAACCGACGUGAAUUAAUAUGUAUGAAAAAAACUUGUAUGAUAUCUCCCUUUGAGUGUGGAAACUUACACAUUUUGAUUUUUUUAAACUAUAUUUAUCUCUAUAUGUUCUCCAACGUUUUUUUUAAUGUUAAGUAUAUCUUCUCCAACUUACAUAUUGUUAUAUCAUUGAAUGUAUCAAUUAUCUCUAACAUUCUCCACCUUACUAAAAUAUUAUAAGCAGUCUAUUGAAUUAUUACUAACAUGUCAAAAGGUGCAACUAGUACUAUUAUAGGGGGAGAGUAUCAUAUAAUAUUCAAACCGACGCGUAUAAACUAAAGUGAGUUUGGAUGAUAUAUGCGUAUAUAAUAUGGUUGUUGGAAUGUGCAUAAAAUUAUACUAAUAAAGAAGAGUUGGAAGUGGGAUUACUAAGGUGAUGUGGGUCUAGGGAUUCACUCCAAUUCCACAUUAUGCAAAGGAAUGUCACUUACCGUGAUAUGUGCUGUUCCUCGAUCUCUCUGAAAGAUUCACCUGUUACAUUCUCCUUUAUUGUCUCUAUCUUUUUCUUCUUGCAUUUUCAAUAUAUAUACUUUAAUUUUAUGUAAGUUAAUCGAUUAGAAGUCUAGAUUGUCUAGUUGACCCGUCUUGUUUAGAUAAAAUUAGGGCUUGGCACAAGACAACAUUUCCAUAAACAGUAAAUAUAUACCAUUUGCUUUGGUUCGUGCAAAUAUUUAAGGAAAACAUGGUCAAAUAUUUGUUCUUUUUUCAACUAUUUUUUCAUGCUUUUAUACCAUACCUUUUUUUAAUACCAUACUUGAGAUUCAAUUCUCAGAAGAUGCACAUUUUUCAAAUUAUACGUUGAACAAUUUAUCAAAAAAUUUUAAAGUCUUACUAGUAGAUUUUUCAUUGUGGUCGUGUGCUACCAGAAAAAUUUAUUCGUCGAAAAUGUCAUACAUACAAAAUUUCUGUCAGUCCAAGUGUUACAAAGAACUAUGUCUUGAAAUUGUUAUUGGUGAUAUUGUUCAUCAAUAAAUUAUUUUUUUGCAUGUAGUUAAUAAUCAUAUGUAAUAGAAAUAUAAAUUAUAUGAUGAUAUAAUUGACAAUUCGAUCAGUGUUAAAAGUUAUAUUUUAUUAAAUUGAUGCACACACCGUUUUCACAACACUAUUCAUAUUUUAAUUGCAUAAAUAUAUCUUUAAUGGUAUAUAACGGUAAUUUAUAAAUAAUUGUACAACUUUUUAUUAUUUGUACUAGUUUAACCAGUUUAAUAUGUAUAUAGCAUACUAGUUAGGAUAAUUAUAAUUUCAGUUGUAUUUUGGUUUAUAUAAGCCAAACUAUUUAUAUUUGAUUUUAUUAGCUAUAAUAUGUAGUUGUGGUUAUAUUUGAUUGUACUUGUCAAACUAACUUUUAUUUGAUUAUAUUUGUUGUAUUCAGUUUUUUUGGGUUUCAUUGUUGUGUUCAGUUGUACUCGAUUAUAUCAGUUUUCUUUGAUUCAUUGCAUUGCAUAUAUGGGGUUACCAUCGUCUAGCUUUUCACAAUUUUGCAUAAUUAUUUGAUGUGAUAUUCGCCUAUAAAAAAUAAGUACAAAAAGAUGAGAAGAGAUGAAAACAACAAAUAAAGGACGAAAGAAAAAUACUGAUACAGUUGAUCCAACGUCUAAAUUUAAUAAGAUUUUCAUUCGCGAUUUAUAAGUGCAUAACUAUAUUAUUUACAAAAUUUAAUUUAAAAAUAAAAUUUUUAUUUUUAUUUGUAUAUCAUUAUGAUUAAAGUGAUAAAAAUAUUCAUAAUCUAAACUUAUAAAGUUUAAAAUUGGAAUACGCUUAGUUAGUUUGGAUAUUACAUUUAUAUUAAUUAGUUUUCAAAACUAAAUAAAAUUAUUUUUGCACCUAUUUUAUAAUGUUAAUAUUAUAGAAUUAUUUUUUUCGUUUUAAAAAAUAAAACUGAAAUAAGAUUUGUGAUAUUUUUAAUAGUAACUAAGAAUUUAAAUAGUUAUUUAAAUAAUAACAAUUUAAAGGUUUUCUAAAAUUUUGUUAUAGUAAACAAGAAAAUAAAUAAUUAUUCAAAAUAUCAUUUAAUCAUAAAAUGAUAUCAUGUGUAAUGACAUAUUGUAUUGGAAUUUUUAAUUUGUAAAAUAAUAACCAAAUGAUCUAUAAUGAAAUCUCUAGUCAGGAAUUCCAUGGCGAUGAAACGGGAGAUCUAGGGUUCUAUGAUUUUGCGAAGAUGGGAGCCGGGGAUUGGAGUAGGAGUUUGGUUCGGUUUGUUCGGGCAUGAUCAAGAUCUAGAUAUGGCAUAUCAUGACGGUAUCUCGGGUCGAUUGAGAAUCGACUUAGGUUUCAGAAAGGGGAUCUGCGGAAUUUUAAGGAAAGUAAAGAUUUGGAUCGAGGGACAAUGGAUCUCGAUUAUCAUUACGAUGGAGUCAUCAGUCAACACAGGGUGGAUAAUGGUUUGCGAUUCUUUAGUCUCCUGCUCUUAUUUAAUUAGGAGUGAUCUCUAUUAUCAAUGGUUGAUUUGGGUUUUACGGUGUUUUGAGAAAGUAAGAUUGGCUGAGAUCAAUUUACAGGGAUACGGGAUCGUGGGAUUUUAUUAUAGGAAUAAGAAAAUGGAAAAUUGGAAACGAUAUAAGAAGAUGACAGGAACCUUUCUUUGGGAUAUCAUUCCUCUUUCAUCUUCUUAUAUCAAAGAUCUUAAGUCGAUUACUUGUGGUGUUAUCAGGAUGCAGAGUAACUUGUUGAGCCACGGUGAGGAGCAGAAGAACGGUGAGGGUAAGCGUAAGAGAUUGAAAAUCUCCUUGGCGCAUUUUGACAACUCUGCUCUCAUCAGGACCUAUUCCAAAACCCUGAUUGGAAGGUGUAUGAACCCCGUGGAGCAACAGAUGAGUGCAUUGUUCACAAAUCUACCAAAGAUUUGGAAAUUGGAGGAAAGGGUUACGGGCAGUGACUUGGGCUUUGGCAAGUUCCAGUUCGACUUCAAGACGGAGGAGGAACUUGAAGCGGUGUUGAGGCAGCAGCCUUUUCAUUUUGACUACUGGAUGCUGGCAUUGGCGAGGUGGCAACCAAAGCAACUCAAGGAUUUUCCUUCAGAGAUCCCAUUUUGGAUCAGAGUUGUUGGUCUCCCGCUUGAAUUUAGGACCGUUCCUACAUUAGAGAGCAUUGGUGGAGCUUUGGGGAGAGUGUUGGAUGUAGAUGUGACCCAAAACCGAGUUCAAGUUGUGGUCGACGCUUUCAAAGAACUAUGCUUUGAAACGACUAUAGAUUUCAAAGGUGGAGAAUUUUACGAGGAGGAGGAAGUGGCAGUAUCUCUGCGCUACGAGAAGCUCUUCGGUUUUUGCGAACUCUGUGGGAGUCUAUGUCACAAGGAGGAGCUAUGUCCUCUUGAUGAGAAGAACACAAAGGCGGGCUCAGAAAGAAGGAGGGAGAACAGAGAAGGGAAUGGGGGAUGGACUGAUGGUGCAAAACAUGAGGAGCGAGCUCGUAGCUACAAGGGUGUGGUCAUUAAUGGUAACAAGGGCCAACAGAACAGAGACAGAGACCGUAGGGAGUUUCAUGGGAAGGGUAAGGGUAAAAUGAUGGAGGCACCAGACUCUAAGUGGGUUAAGGUUCCAGAGCGAGGCAACAGGGGACCUUCUCAUCAUUAUGGAAACCACAGAGGUAACGGGGAGGGUUCAAGGGUCAAAACUACAUAUAGAGAAGAUGUUUCAGUGGUGGGCUCUGGAGCUCAAGUGAUGACGUCUAGGACAUAUCCAACGCAACCAAGAGAGGACCAGGGGCAGCAAACUGUACCUCAGGUAACAAGUGAAGAGGGCGAGAUUACGCGAAAUGGGGAUGCUACUGCAGCUCUACCGUCUGUAGAGUUUCAAAUGGAACUAUCUAAGACGCAGGCGGAAGGGUCGGAGGUGGUAGCGGAGGCUAGGGAGGAGGAGAGGGGUCUACUUACAGUGCAAGGAAUGAGGGAGCAACAAGAUGAUACGUUUGAAGAUAUUGAGAUGGAACUGGAUGCUAUUAAUGUAGCUAUGUUGGAGAGUGGCAUCGACUUGGAGACAGAGGAAGAGUUUCAAACUCUUUCUGAAGAGGAGCUUGAGCAAGCUUCUGAGGCUCAGGCAGAGAAUGUUCUCAUUCAGGAUGAGGAACAACCGGUGGCUGGUGAUGCGUACAUCACUAAGGAGUUGGGGACAGGGGAAUUGGCGACGAGACAGAGUCACCGUAAGAGGUUAUUCAAGGCCAACAGCAGCAUUGCGGGUAGUUCUAAAAUGAGAAUGGCGUCGGCGCUUCUCUCACCAAGGAAGAAAGGUGUAGCUAAGGUUGGGACUCGUCAUGGAGACAAUACCAAACCACCGGAGAACAAGGGACCUUCAAUCCCGAAGCCGGUUAACUUAAAAUUUUAAGUUUAUGGAUCAAACCUCAUUUAUAAUGAGAGUACGAAUAAAGGAUUUGGUUUAUGGGGGUGGUGCUUUUAUUAUUUCAACAAAUUUCCUUUUACUUGAAGUUUUAUUUGGUUUCAUGGGUCUGGGGGUAGUAAUCAUUGUCAUGCUCCUUUUGUUUUUUAUUAAGAAGUGGAAUAAGAUUGGUCUUUUGUGUUCAUGGUGUUCUACUCAUAAAUAUGUUUUGUUUAUAUAUUGCGAUGAGGUUGUGUGGAGGACGAUUUGGAAAUGUGGAAGUUUUAGGUGUUAUAUUGUUGAUUACUCUCUUUCUGUCUCGAGGUCUCUCGAUGACAUGGAACUUGUUCGACUUGAAUGGGGAGUAUCCUAUGGGAACAGAGGUUGGUGGAUUAACGGAGGAUGGUGGAUCCAUGGGUUGGUCUUGAGAUGGUUAUUAUGUUUGUUUAUAUUAUUUAAUAGGCAGGGUCUAGGAAAUAUGAUGCACUUCUGGGGGGAGCUAAAAAGCAUAAGGAGCCUGUGGCUUCGAGGUGUAAUUAGGAAUGCAGAAAACCUUUCACGGCUUCGUUGGUGUGGUGUCAUUUGGGGAUUAUUAAAUCAUAUGAUAAUUGAGAUUAACUGUCAAGCAUAUUUAGUGAUCAAACAGAUUGUAUUUGAUUAUGCGUGUGUUCUGCAAGUUAUUUUUUAUUUGGUAGAUACUAUUUGGUCUAGGAGGAAUAUUUGGAAAUUUGGAAGUGGAGGGGUAGGUUCAAAUUUUAUACUUAUUCGGGAUAUUUGGAAUGUGAGGUUAAAAGGUUUUUUGAUCUCCUUACGGGAAAUAAAUAAAUGUAAAAUGUUGAUGCGACCUUGUCCAAUAUAUAAAUUAGCAGGAACAAUUUUGGCUGUCUCAGUUCUGAAUUUGAAUAUUAAUUUCUCUAGUAUAUUCGUUGGACGACUACACGGUUGUAGUGUGAAAUGCAAGUAUGGGAAUAAGAGGUCCAAAUGGUUUGUUCGGGAAUCGAUGGGGAUGGAAGCUUGGUAUAGCUACAUUGGGACCAUAGAAGGGCUGGGUAUCUUUAAAUCCCAUAUCUUCGGCUCGAGAGAGCAAUACAAGGUGUUUUAUAUAUAUGAAAAUAUUAAGCUGGAAUUGUAGAGGACUUGGGAGUCAUUGGACCAUAAGUUAUCUUCGGGAGACAUGGCAUAAACACAAACCAGAUUUUUUAUUCUUAGCUGAAACGAAACAGGAUUUUGAGUUUGUCCAGUGGUUUCAACCACACUUUGGAUAUGAUAGUUUGACUACUGUGGAUCCAAAUGGGAGAAGUGGUGGUUUAGCUCUUUUUUAUAAUAAUGAGUAUCAGGUGAAGAUUCUAUAUUCUAGUAAUAGAAUGAUAGAUAUUGAGGCGGUGGUCAAAGGAAAACAAGUUUUUCUUACUUUUGUUUAUGGGGAUCCGGUGCAAAAGCUAAGAGAACAAGUAUGGGAGAGACUAACUCGAUUUGGAUUGGCACGUUCGGAACCUUGGUUUAUUAUUGGAGACCUAAAUGAAAUUACUGGGAAUCAUGAAAAGGAUGGAGGCUCUCUACGUUGUACAACUUCAUUCAUCCCCUUCAAUAAUAUGAUAAGAAAUAGUGGUUUAUUAGAAUUUCCGGCUAGAGGAAAUACACUCUCUUGGCAAGGAAGAAGGGGCAAAGGGAAAGGAGCAGUGACAGUCAGAUGUCGCUUGGAUCGGGCUUUGGCAAAUGAGGAAUGGCACACGCUCUUUCCAUGUUCUUAUACAGAGUAUCUAAAAAUGGUGGGGUCUGAUCAUCGGCCAGUGGUGGCUUUUUUGGAGGAUAAUGUUACAAGGAAAAAAAAGGGGCAAUUUAGAUUUGACAAAAGAUGGAUUGGUCAGGAGGGUCUCAUGGAGUCGAUUACAGCAGGCUGGGCGGAGAGUCAGGAAGGACAAUUAGGAGAUCUUGCUACAAAAAUUAAAAAUUGUCGUCAUGAAAUAUCUUCAUGGCGUAAGAAUAAUCAACCAUAUGGAAAGGAUAAAAUACAGGAGCUACAAAGGGCACUGGAGGAAGUUCAAAUGGAUAAUAAUAGGUCACAAGAAGAGAUUAUUGAGGUUUCUAGGAAACUACAGGAGGCUUAUAAGGAUGAGGAGGAAUAUUGGCAUCAGAAAAGUAGGAAUAUGUGGUACUCAUCUGGCGAUCUGAAUACUAAAUUUUAUCAUGCUUUGACGAAGCAGCGUAGGGUUCGUAACAAAAUAGUGGGUCUCCAUGAUGAAGCAGGUAAUUGGAUAACGGAUGAGAAAGGAGUUGAGAAGGUGGCAGUUGAUUAUUUUGAGAGUCUGUUCACGACCACGGAUCCAACGGAAUUUGAUAGUUUUUUGGAGGAGAUAACACCAUCUAUUUCUCCCUAAAUGAAUCAAAUAUUACUGAGAAUGGCAACGGAGGAAGAGGUCCGACAAGCUUUAUUCAUGAUGCAUCCGGAGAAAGCGCCAGGACCGGAUGGGAUGACAGCUCUUUUCUUCCAACACUCCUGGCAUAUAAUUAAGAGGGAUGUGGUUGAGAUGGUGAAUAAAUUUCUUCUCACAGGGAAUAUGGAUCCACGUUUAAACAUUACUAAUAUAUGUAUGAUUCCUAAAGUAGAGAGACCCACAAGGGUGACGGAAUUAAGGCCGAUAAGUCUUUGUAAUGUUGGUUACAAGAUUAUCUCGAAGGUUUUGUGUCAAAGAUUGAAAAUUUGCCUACCAAGGCUAAUUUCGGAGACACAAUCGGCAUUUGUGGCGGGCAGGUUAAUAUCGGAUAAUAUUCUUAUAGCGCAGGAAAUGUUUCAUGGACUGAGGACAAAUAAGUCAUGUCAGAAUAAAUUUAUGGCAAUCAAAACGGAUAUGAUAGGAUUGAGUGGAAAUUUAUCGUGGCACUUCUUCACAAAAUGGGGUUUGAUCCUCGUUGGACUAAUUUGAUGAUGGAAUGUAUUUCUUCGGUUCAAUAUAGGGUUCUUAUCAAUGGUCAACCACAAGGACUUAUUUUUCCUCAACGAGGCUUACGGCAGGGGGAUCCUCUCUCUCCGUAUUUAUUUAUUAUGUGCACUGAGGCAUUAAUCGCGAAUAUUAAGAGGGCGGAGAGAGAGAAACAACUUACUGGUUUAAAGGUGGCAAGAGCGUGUCCAGCAAUCUCUCAUUUGCUAUUUGCCGAUGAUAGUCUUUUCUUUUGCAAGGCAAAUAAGGAGGAAUGUCAAAUCAUUCUUAGGAUUUUAAAGGAAUAUGAGGCUGUCUCGGGGCAACAAAUAAAUUUUCAGAAAUCUUCAAUUCAAUUUGGGCAUAAGAUCGAAGAACCAAAUCGUCAAGAAUUGAGAGAUGUUUUAGGAAUUCAAAAUAUAGGAGGUAUGGGAUCCUAUUUAGGCUUGCCAGAAAGUCUAGGAGGAUCUAAGGUACAAGUAUUUGGUUUUGUUCAGGAACGGUUGAAUAAUAGAGUUAAUGGAUGGACCUUUCGAUUUUUUACUAAAGGAGGAAAAGAGGUAAUUAUUAAAUCGGUAGUUACGGCCCUGCCCAACCAUGUAAUAUCUGUUUAUCGAUUACCGAAGGCUACUGUUAAAAAAUUAACAAGUGCAGUUGCUCAGUUUUGGUGGAGUCCAGGAGGAAGUUCUAAAGGUAUGCAUUGGAAAUCAUGGGAUAAAUUAUGUGAAACCAAAGAAAAUGGUGGGUUAGGUUUCAAGGAUCUUUUGGAUUUUAAUACGGCAAUGCUUGGAAAGCAAUUAUGGAGACUGAUUGAGAAGCCAAAUACCCUUUUCUCAAGAGUCUUCAAAGGACGGUAUUACAGGAAUGCUUCACCCCUGGAACCGAUUCGUUCCUCUUCUCCGUCAUAUGGCUGGAGGAGUAUUAUUUCUGCUAGAUCUCUGGUUUGUAAAGGACUAAUUAAAAGGGUGGGAACAGGUUCGUCUAUCUCUGUAUGGAAUGAUCCUUGGAUCCCAGCCACUCGCCCGAGACCAGCAAACAAAAAUUUUCCCAACUUUUAUCCGGACCUCACAGUGGAUUCCCUCAUUAAUUCGGAAUCUCGCUCAUGGAAUUUACAGGCAAUCAGGACUCUAGUGGAUCCUACGGAUGCAAAAAUUAUUGAAAGUAUUCCUUUAAGUAGGAACCAGUUUGAGGAUAGGAAUGGAUGGCAUUUUACUACUAAUGGAAAAUAUUCAGUCCGAUCAGGUUAUCAAGUGGAACGAGUCUAUCCUGAUAAGGAAAAACCACCAGAUUUUUAUGGCCCUACAGUGGAUAUACUUAAAGCUUUCUGUUGGAAAGUUCGGUGCCCCCCAAAAAUAAGAUAUUUUUUAUGGCAACUUCUCUCGGGAUGUAUAUCGGUAAUGAAAAAUCUCAAGGCAAGAGGGAUACAACGAGAUAUAUGUUGUGCUCGAUGCGGAGAUCCGGAAGAAUCAAUUAACCAUGUAUUUUUUGAAUGUCCGCCGGCACGCCAAGUGUGGGCAUUAUCCAAGAUUCCGUCGUCUCCUAAUAUCUUUUCUAUCACCUCAUUAUUUGCUAAUAUGGAUCAUCUUUUUUGGAGAGUUCAGCCAAAGAUGGAUGACCAUCAGUUUGCAUGGAUUUUAUGGUAUAUUUGGAAAGCCCGAAAUAACAAAGUUUUUAGUAAUCUGGAUAUUGAUCCGAGGGAUACUCUUCAAUUAGCUGAAUUAGAAUCAUCACUUUGGGCAGAAGCACAGGUGGGAAAUGAUCCUACGAGGGAGCCUUCGGUACAGACCAGUUCCUCCCUAGCAACACAAGGUCGAUGGUGUUUCAUAGAUGGUUCAUGGAAAGAUAAAGAUUCUUUUUCAGGGCAAGGUUGGUAUAGUACUUUACAGGGGUUUGAUGGUCUGUUAGGGGCAAGGAAUGUAAGGGCAUGUCUUUCACCCCUCCAUUCGGAGGUAGAGGCUUUGAUUUGGGCAAUGGAAUGUAUGAAGAAUUUAAGACAGUUAUAGGUAACGUUUGCGACGGAUUAUUCUCAAUUGGUGAAGAUGGUUUCAGAACCAGAAGAAUGGCCAGCAUUCAAAAGCUAUUUGGAAGAUAUCAAACUUCUCAAAAGAAGUUUCCUCAACUCAGACAUCGUUCAUGUUCCUCGGACGGCGAACCUUCGGGCGGAUAGCUUAGCACGCAAUGCUAGGAAACAAUCGUCCUUUGUCGUUCACAUGGAUGCGGAGUUACCAACUUGGUUUACAGAGUCAACAUGAGUCUGUAAAUUCUUUGCUGUCAAAAAAAAAAAAAAAAAAAAAUCUCUAGUCAGGUUUCAAAAAUUAGUGACAUUUAAGUAAAUCUCUAGUCAAACUAAAACGGAGUCAAUGUUAUGUUGAAUUUAUCUUUAUUUAAGUUAUGUCAAACACUUAAUCUAAUGAUUUCAAUGUCAUUUUAAUGAUAGUGCUUCUAUAUUUUAUUUUCUACCAAAUUAUAUAUGACAGUCUGAAUACUACAUAUCAACAUGCAUGAAUGAUUUAUUGCAUACAUAUAUGAUAUGUUAACUUAAGAUCAUGAAGUCGAUCAUCAAGAAUCAUAUGAAUUUAAACAUCAAUCAAAGAAUUAUAUUAGUGUCAUGUCCACCUAGUAGUAUCACAUAAAUGCAACUUUAUUUUCAUAUGAUGAUUCUAUUUUAAUAAGAUGGAUAAAAUAAAUUGGAUAAUAUUCAUAUAAUUACUUUUCAUGAUUAGUACAUAUAAAUGGUCAUAUGCUGUUGUUAUUGUGGUUGAAUCACUAUCCAUAAAGAAAAGUAAAAAGUAUUUACUUGUAAAAUAAUUAGACAUUUUAUUUUAUUUUUAGCAACACAUUUUAAUUUUGUGUGAACAUUAUAUAUUAUUCCAUAUACUUCCUUAAGAUGAAAUGUAUCUUAGGGGUUAAAAAAGCUAAUUGGAUUCUUUUUCCUUGUUAUUGAUUUAUGGUGAGAAGCUCAAGAACCAUAGGCAACAUCGAGAGAAAGAGGUCCUAUCCAUCAUCAGAGAGAAUCUCAUAUCGAUCUCCAACGUCUUCAUAUUGGUGAGUCAACGUCGUUUUCAACUAUCAUCAGUUGUUCUUUCGAACAAUAGUUUUUAGGUAUCAAGUGAAGCAUCUCUUUGGGGCCUUUCACUCUUUAAACACAUAUAUCUCUCUUUUCAUUGUUAUAGUUCUUGUUUGUCAGGUUACCGUUGAAUUUAUAUCCGGUUGUACUCAUUUAAACUGUUUCGGUCUCUAGAUUAAUAUAAUCAUUUCAUGGACAAAAACAAAUUUAUGGUGAUUCAGACUAAAGUGCUAGCUCGGCUAUCUCAGAUGUGUAAGCUUAUUGUGUACCAUCACCAAAAUUGCAAAGCCAAUUGAGCCAACAUAAACAUAUAGAUCUAUUAAGUGUGAAUUUAAUCAUGGACAAACUAGAUAAGAAAUUUAGUUUAUUAAAAGUAAUUCGGAUUCUAUUACAAGAAAAUGAAAUUGGGGAGUAUUUAGAUAAGAAAUUUAGUUUAAUAUAAGUAAUUCAGGUUCGAUUACAGGAAAUCUCUUACUUAUUAAUAGACAAACAUUUUAAUAAAGCAACUUUAAUUUUGUAGUCUAUUCACAAGUUUGCCAUUUAACUGAUGUGUCAUCACCACAUCUCUUCUCAACUCAUCAUUAAAAUGAUCCUAUAAUUACUAGACAUAUUACAUAAAUUGACAUUGGUAUCACUCUAAUACAUAUUAUAAUUUUAUACAAUAAUACCAUUUGAAGUAUUACCUAAAUGGAAAUAACUAAAACGUGACCUCUCAUCAUUUUCUUUCAAGUUUCUAAUAUCAACAUUAACCAACAUCAUCAAUUGCAAAAAAAAAAAAGAAAAAGUUUUGUAUUUAGAAGAAUCUAUGACAUUUGCUUAAUAACAAAUCUGUUGCUUAGCUAUACCUAAACAAAAUUCAAUUAGAACUAAGAAACAAUUUUCAAUAUUUUUCAGAAGGACAUGCUUCCUCUGAUGUGUCACUAUACCAUCAAGGUACGUGAUGUUUCUGAUGUUUCAAAAUUUUGAACAGACAAAUUCUGCAUAUAUAUAUAUGUCAUAUUUAUCUGAAACUCUAUACAUAUCUUAUAGUUUAACGGGACAAUAAUAUGAUAAACGGUUAAAACUAUACUGCAAAGAAAGUGAUAUGGGCAGGCCUCCGUAAAUUUAAGUUUCGUGAUGUACAACAAAAUUUUAGCAAAUUAGCGCUAUGCAAAUUUAAGUUUCUAUAAUUUUAAAUAUAUUUUGACCUUAUAAAACCAUAUAAUUUAUUGUCUGAUUCGUGAUGUGCAAUUCAAAUCUUUGAUUUUUAUUUGGGAAUUGAUUGUACUUAUUUUCCGUAAAUCUUUACCUUGAAAAAAAGCAAGUAGGCUCCAAAUGGUAACUGCGGUUUGAGCGGUGCGGGACAAGCAGUUUAACUGUGGUGCGGUUUUAACAGUUAUAAAAACGUAUAAAUAUAUGGUAUAUGUAAAUAUUUUUGUUACUAUUAACUGCGGUGCGGGACGGGGCGGUUCGUAACAUUCGAAGCCAUAAUGUGUUUACAAUUUAGGUUGACUUAAUAAUAAACUUGAUCAAAGUCCAUUAUGAAGUUAUAAUGUACUUUUAUCAAAAUUAUAGUCCGGUUAGUUAAUCCAAUUUAGUCUUUUUCAGUAUAAAAUUCACGUUUUAAUUAAAAAAAAUUACAAAUUAAAAUAUUUUAUAUAACAAAUUAUAUUUGAUGUAAUGUUAUAUAUAACAUUUAUAACGUAAAAGUAGUCAAGACGCAUAUUUUUAUCCUAGUUAAAAUGGUAAAGCAGAAAUACGGAUUUGCUAAUUAUUAUUUAAUUUUAAGUGUACAUUAUAGGUAUUUCGAGUAGUUUAGACAUGCAUUCAUUUGCCUACACACUUUGACUGUUUCUUUCUGUAAAAGAGAAGAAAAAACUUGUAGAUUCCAAAAAUCGAUUAUAGUGAAAUCUGCAGCGAUUGAAAAUGGACUUAACUCUCACAGUAAAGAUGAUCCAUUAUAAAUUUUGUGUUCAGUUUUUUUCUUUUUCUGUUAUAUAUCAUCGGUUUUGGGAUCCAAUACUAAAUAAAUAAGCUCCACCAAACUAUGAACGUUACCGCCAAUUCGUACGUGUUGUUUUACUGAUUUGAACAUCAUUAUAUAUUUAUAUAUGCGUGUUAAAUCAUAAUAGUGACAACUCAAGAAAAAAGGCAGUACAACAAUACAGCAAACAUGCGAUGACAAGUUGUACAUAUAAUGGUCGAGACCAUAAGAUAUCUGUAGACGAUUUUUGAAUAUAGAUUAGGGAGGACCCGAAGUUGGCAGAUAAAGUUGGUAUACUAUUUCAUUUAGCAAUUUUUUAACAAUGUCUUGAAAUUUCAGAUACGAUUGAUUCAAAAUAAUUGGAUGGAUGUUUUCCUCUCCAAGGGAUUGAUAUAUUUCAGACGAUGGAAGUAGAUUUUUCUAACCAGUUUUUUUUCUUCAAAUUAUUAGGUAGUAAUUGGGAGCAAAAUUUUCUAAACAAAUAAUCGCAGAUUUUUUUGUUUUCUAUUUCUGCGUUAAGAAAAUAUGAUUUUUAAUUAAAAUUAAAGAAACUGAUCUUUUUUUUUUUACAGAAAAUGAUGUUUAAAUUCUUGAUAUCUAAUUAUAUAGUUUAGUAAAACUAAGCCAGUGUAAGGACCAUUUCUAGUACAGAGGCAUCUUGAACAUCUAAUCUUAAUUAACAUCCAGUAGCUAUAUGUUAAGUACAACUAGAUAGAGAAAACCCUAGUGACAUCUAUAUAUACAUAAGUUAAUGAAUAGUGACACAAAUAACAAUAUCUAUACUAUACUAAAAGGAGUAUAUAAGCUCCUCUUAGAGUGUCCACGUAGGCACAAAAAAUCGUCCAAUCAGAGAGUCCGAAGUUGCCACGUCAUCUCAUUUAUUUUUUCGUAAAAAAUGAAAAACCAAUGCAAAGGAAAUGAUCGAACCCGGGUUAGAAUGACAUGAAUAUAUGAGAGAUACCACUAAGCCAUUGAGACUUUCUUGGACACAUAUACAAGAAUCACUAAAUAUGUAAUCACACUCUUAUGUACAUUUAUAAUAAUAUGGAUUCAACUUUCAAGACUCCAAUACAUUGUUUUGUAAAAAAAAAUAAGUAAGUGACUAAGCUAAUAUAUUCUUUGAAAGUGUGAGAACAUUGACAUAUACCACAAAGAAAUAGAUUUUUGUUUUCGUGACAAAGUUAAGAAUUUUGUAAAAGUAUUAACAUAUAAAUUUUCGUGACAAAUAUGAAAAAACAUAAAUUUUUGUACAAUUUUGACAAAACAACUCAAAACAUAGUUCUCUAAUGUCUUAAUAAAAUAUUAUUUAAGGGUGCAAUAAUUAAAUAUAUCAAUUCAAUAAAUUUUGUAAUUUAUAAACAAAACAAUAACACAACAAAUUUUGAAACAUUUGUUUAACCUAUCGAUUUCUUUUCAUGAGAAUCCAACUAAACAAGAUAAAAAAAACAAUUAGAUUUAUUUAAUUACCAUUUUAUAUAUAGAUUUCAUAUACACAAAUAAAUAUAAUAUAACAACAUAAGCUUGCUUUCCCCGAUUCAUAUUAAAACCUUUUUAAGUUAUCUACCAAAACAAAUUAAUUAAAUCAAUCAAAUUGUUAGAAUAAAACAAAUUAAAAUAUAAUUUUAUUUUAAAUUAAAUUAUUUAAAAACUGAUUUGAUGGUAAUUUUUAUGACAUAUAUAUAUUAUGUGAAAGAAAUAUAAGCUUAAUAUGGAAAAAAAUCUUAAAUACAAAAAACUCUAAAAUUAACAAAAAAAACUAAUAAAAAUUAAACUAUGAUAUCAAUUGAAAGCUUCUUAGACAAUAUUAAUAAAAUAUUUAAGCGAUAAUAAGACAAAUUUGAUUUUUUUUUCAGCCAAAAGUUUAUUAUUAAUUAGCAUCAGUUAUUUCAAAAUAUUUAAGAAAUGAUGGACUUAAAUGAUACAUGAACUAUGAAUAGUAGUACUUUGUAAACCUGACUUAGAUAACACAUCUGUACAUCAUUUCCCGUCCUUUUUGAUGCCUAAAUUCAAAUUUUUCAGAGCAGUUAUUCCACAAAGAGAUCGUAUGAGAAAUUGUUUUGAUAUUCAUAUUUGUUUCUUGACUGUUAAGAAGAUUGAUAACUGUAAAAAUGUCUCCUUCGAAUAUUAUAUGUCUAUAAUCGAAUUUCCACCAUGAGACAACUUUGUUUAAAAAGUAAAUAAUUUCAUUUUUUAUAUUAUAUAAUAAAUAUAUAUUAUUUAGAUAAUAAAAAUAUAGUUAUUCAUCUAUUACAAAUAUCUAUGCAAAUAUGUGAAUCAAAUACAACAAUCAAACAACAUAAUGAUUUCCACAAAGAAAAUUUAAAAUAAAUAUAUUUAUGUUAUGUAGUCUUAUUUUAUAUUCUUUGAAUAAUGUAAUACAAUAUUAUACAUUAUUUUUUUAGAAUUGAGAAUUACAUAUAUAUCAAUUAGACAAAUUAAGCGAUAAUUAGACAAAUUUGAUUUUUUUGCUAGCCAAAAGUUUAUUAUUAAUUAACAUCAGUUAUUUCAAGAUGUUUAAGAAAUGAUGGACAAAAAAAUAGAAUGAACAUAAAUAAUAUAUGAACUAUGAAUAGUAUUUUGUAAAGCUCACUUAGAUAACACAUCUACACAUCCAUUUUCAGUCCUUUUGAUGCUUAAUUCAAUUUCUUCAGAGCAGUUAUCCACAAAGAGAUCGUAUGAGAUUGUUUUGAUAUUCAGAUUUGUUUCUUGACUGUUAAGAAGAUUGAUAACUAUAAAAAUGUCUCAUUCGAAUAUGAUAUGUCUAUAACCGAGUCCCCAACAUGAGACAAGUUUGUUUUAAAAGUAAAUAAUUUUAUUUUUCUUAUAUUAUAUAACAAAUAUAUAUUAUUUACUGAUAAUAAAAAUAUAGUUAUUCAUCUAUCACAAAUAACUAUGCAAAUAUGUGAGUCAAGUAGAACAAUCAAACAACAUAAUGAUUUCCAUAAAGAAAAUUUUUAAAAAUAUUUAUAUUAUGUAGUCUUAUUUUAUAUUCUUUAAAUAAUGUGAUACAAUAUUAUAUAUUAUUUUUUUAGAAUUGAGAAAUACAUAUAAAAUUUUAUCCGCGCGUAGCGCGGUUAAAAAAUCUAGUUACAAAUAAAAUAUAAAAUACGGAGCUUAAAAAACAUCUGCCAAGAAUCUUUGUGCUGCAGUCUUUGAAAGUUAAAACAGUAAGUAAUAUAGCUUCACUAGCCAACAGAACUUUGUCUCUACACUGCUGGUUUCAAAAGGAUUCUCUUUUAAAGAAGUGAAGAAACAAAGAAAGACUACAAGAUAAAAAGAGCUUAAUCAAGAAAGAUAUGUUUGGCAAUUGUGACCAAAAGAAGAAGAUGCCUAUCAUCCAGUCUCCUAAUACAAAUCCACCGGUCUCUCUCUCUCUCUCUCUCUCUCUCUCUCUCUCUCUCUCUCUCUCUCUCUCUCUCUCUCUCUCUCUCUCUCUUAAUAAUAUUGACCCAUUUAUCUUUUGUUUCUUAGCUUUUGGAUCCGAAUAAUAUCCUUUUGUCCUCUCUUUGUUCUCUUGCCUUUAGUUAAACCACACAAUCUAAAAACAAAAAAUUCUCUCUUCCUCUCUUCUCAGGCAAGUAUGCAGAGCAAGAACAUGAUCGUUUCUCCGUCUCAUCAGCAGCAACCGCCUCAACCGCAACUUAAAUGCCCUCGUUGCGAUUCAUCGAACACAAAGUUCUGUUACUACAACAACUACAGCCUCUCUCAGCCGCGGCACUUUUGCAAGGCUUGCAAAAGGUAUUGGACACGAGGUGGGACCCUCCGUAACGUUCCCGUAGGCGGUAGCUACCGGAAGAACAAACGUGUGAAAAGGCCAGCAACCACAACCGCAGCUUCCACGGCCUCGACGACUACUUCUUCAUCCCCUAAUAAUCCUCAUCAUCAGAUCUCCCAUUUCCCUUCCAUGAAUCAUCAUCCCUUGUUCUAUGGUUUAUCAGAUCAUGUGAGCAGUUGUAAUAGUCUUCCAAUGUUUCCAAGCCGUUUCAGUGAUCCUCCAAAGACUUCAAGUGGUUUAGAGGGUGAGUUUCCCUCAUCUGGUUUUAAUGGUCUUGGAUUAGGGCUUCCACAUCAUAUGAGUCAUGACCAAACCAUUAAUGGUAGCUUCAUCAACAGCUCUACAACAAACAAACCAUUUCUUCCCUCGAGUCUAUUUGGGUCGUCUGUAUCUUCCUCUUCAUCUACUCUUCUCCGGCAUGCACACAAGCCCAUGAACAAUAAUGGUGAGAUGAUGGGACAGUCCCAUCUCCAAACCCUAGCAUCACUUCAAGAUCUGCAUGUUGGAGGUAACAAUGAAGAUGUGAACAAAGAAGGAAAGCUUGUUGAGAUCUCCGGGGACAUGAAUGGGUUCAUGUCAUCAUCAUCCUUAGAUCCUUCAAACUACCACAACAUCUGGAAUAAUGCAAGUGUUUCCAGUGGAGCAUGGCUUGAUCCAACAAAUAAUAUCGUUGGAUCCUCCCUUACCUCCUUGAUAUAAACCAAAACUUAUUGGUUAUAACUAGCUAGGGUUUCAUCUUCAUCACUUUUUCUUUUCUGUUUUGAGAUGAGAGAAGAAGCUUGGAUCAGAGAGAUAAAAUCAAGGGCAAUGUUGUUCUUGGCCACUAUAAAUCUCCCUCGGAUCCUCUUCAUCUCACCAUCUCCAUCAUUUUCAUUCGCGUUGUUCAAGAAAAACAAAAGGGGCUCAAGAUUGGUUCAAGGUUUACUAUGGUUGACUGUUAAGUUCACCCAAGGUAAAUUAUACUUGUAUGUACAUAAUAUGGUCCUGACUUCUAUCAUCUUUUCUUUUCAUCUAUGUAAUUCUGAGGUCCACCACAUGGGUUGGUGUUUCUUUUCACUGGGAUUAGGAGGGUAUAUUUGGGUUAAUUUGAGUUUCUCAUGGGGCCGGAGAACUCAAUAGUUUUCAAGUUUUAGAUUUUUUUUGUUUCACUUUUCUUCGUUGGUAUGGCUUUCAUUGGGUAUACAAGCAGCGGGAGGAAUGGUGUUUUGUGUUGCUAUAACUUUGGUUAUUCACGUAUGAGUUAUGUUAUUACGGUUCUUUUGGAUGCAUGUCUAUGUAUAAUAUUAUAAAUAUGUUGUUAUCACGAUAGAUAUGGGACGAAUAUACAUGUGCAUUACUUGGAUUGUCCUAACGGAAAAUGUCCUUUGGCUAAUGUCAACUGGGAGAUUCAUGAAUAUGAAAUAAACUCGCACAAACGUCGUCAGUGGAUACAAUUAGUAUACUUAGACCGACAAAGCGGACAAAUAUUGUAGAUAUUUUAUUCAUAUAAAAUACUGCUCAUAUUCUUAUGUCAUAUUGAUAAUUUUGUUCUCUAGCAUUUUGGCUACAAGCCUUACAACUCAUGGUUCCGUGUAUAUUACAACCGAGACAUAUAUAUAUGAGCACAGAUUUGGUCCAGGCCUGGAGUUUAGUGAGGUGUCUUUGUAAAGUGGGCACGAGUUCGUUACCAGUUUCUUCAUGUCAUGUUCUCAGAAAUGAUUUUCGUACAAGAGUUGGAGACUAUUAUUCUAAAACAUUGUACUGUUUGGACACAUUGACUUUUUAUCAAUUUUUUUGCAGAUAAUCUACGGAUCAAAAUUCAAUUAUCACGCGAUUGCACAAAAUAUCAUGAUUUUACGAUCGAUCUCAUCUGAAAGUCCUAUGUUGAGAAGUAUGGGCUAUUUGGAAUGUGUCUGCCCCGGUUAAUGGUUGUUGCAUCUCCAUCUUUGUAAUUAUGGAUCAGGUGUUGAGGAUUGCACACGAUUGUACAAAGAUAUAUAGUGUGCAUCAUGGGUUGUUGGCGACAAUAGAAGCUUGGUACUCUGCCAUAGCCAUCUAUCCUUUUCUCAGAUAAUGUCUUGUUUCGAUUGGAAAAUCAAAAGUUGGGAAGGCUUCUUGGAUAGUAUGAGAAGCUUGAAACUCAAUAAUAUUUUUGGAAAUUAUCAAAGCGUUGCACAAGCACUUAGACUAGCAAGUUUUCAUGGGACAUACUGCGGGUGUGAUUUACUCUCAUAGAAGCCCAAGUUGGGUAAGAUAUUUCUUUUCAGGAACCCAAAGUGUAGUUUAGGAUAUAAUCUUAUAAAUUCGUAUGUGGCAUAAGAAUGCCCUGUUGGAUGAAUGAAUUCCUUGAGAAGGAAAGUUCAGUCACCAUAGUUGCAUUCACCCUAACUCAAUUCAGUUAACAAAACUCAGUUCAACGAACCAAGUGGUGGUAUUCUAGUGGUAAUCUCUUGGGGCUCAGCGUGUAUCCACCUGGUAGUAUUAUAGUGGUAAUCUCUUGGGGCUCAACGUGUAUCCACGUUGAUCCUGAAUUGAUUCUUUCUGGAAACUAAGUUAUCAUUAUUUAGCUAAUGUGGACUUGGGCUUUGGUCCAGGUAGUUAACAUGGUGGAUCGUAACAGAUGAUCGGUUCUAAAACCCUAGCUGUCAAGAGAGAGAGAGAGAGAGAGAGAGAGAGAGAGAGAGAGAGAGAGAGAGAGAGAGAGAGAGAGAGAGAUUUUUAAUAGUUUCAAGCCAAUGACUGGAGGCUUCUAUAGCUCCGACAUCGGCUCGUUUGAUUCGUUUUGCUUUUUUGUUUCUUUGUUUUGCUUUACUUCAUGUAAUUUGUUUUUUUUAUUGUCAAUUAAUUUAAAUCUGACAAAGUUUUUAUUGUUCCUUUGUAUGUUUAUUCCAAUGGAUUUGGUAAGACAAAAAAAUUUGUUUCAAUUGAAACGUUUAGAAAAGUUAAUUGACAAAUCUACUGCGGAUGGCCGAUGGGUCUUACCGGUGAUGGGUGCUUGCUGCAAACUAUGGUUACUUUGAAAGGCAACAAGACAUUCUAUUGAACAGUAGUAAUCUCUUCGAAUCUGUUAUUAUCAAUAGAACAAUAUAAAGAGUUGUCUUGUCUCGGUGACUCCUACUGGAGUAUUAAAAUGAGAGUGGUGCUUAUGGAUUAAUAUGAAGAUUAUCUUCUUUAAAAUUCAACUAUUCCAAAUGCAAUUAAAAGCAUCUCCAAUGGUGUUACCACCAUUAGAGUCCUUAUCAUUAUUAAACUACUUUUUUUUAGAAUAAUUAAGGACUCUAAUCAAAAUUGUAUGUCCAAUGGUGUUCUCCAAUUUGGAGUCCUUAAGAAUAAAAAAUAUUAAAUUUUAAAACAUGUUAAAUCUAAAAUUUUAUUUAUUACAUGAUUAAAUAUAAAGAUACAAUAAUUAUUAAUCUUCAUCACCAAAUUUGUUCCAAAUGUUUUCAAUCAAAUCAUUUUUCAAUUGUUCAUGUAUACGCCUAUCGCGAACAUGAUUCCAAAUGCCAAGCAUAUUACUGAGAUUUGAAGGCAUGUCGGUACUAUAAGACAUAUCCACCCGAGAGCUUUUUUUCCUCUUUCGUGUCGCAAAUGAUUUUUUUUUCAAUCCGGAAUAGAUACAAGACGGCACCAAUCAGACGCGGCCACGUCUCUAAGGACUAAGUCCUUAAACCCCUUAUCUACGUUCCAGUCCUUACGAAACUUACCUUACUUAAUACUAUUUUAUUCUGAUUAAUCUAGGUUUAUGUGCUAAGGAUUGGUGAAAAAUCACUGUUACGGAUGCUAGGCCUGGGCGUUCGGUCCCUCCGUCGGAUUCGGUUCGGUUUAAACGGGUUUUCGGAUUUUCGGAUGUAAGCCUAGAAGUCCCAUUCGGUUUUUUAAAAUUUCCGAUACGGUAUCGGUUCGGAACCGGUCCGGAUAAAGCUCAGAAGAUCCGCUUAAACCCGAAAUUGAAAUGGACCCGGUUCGGUUUCGGGUUUUGUAACCAAAAUAACCAAAAAAUCCCAAAAAAACCCGAACUACCCAUUCAUUAACACACCAAAACAGAACAAACUUUACGCUAAAACUUAGAAAGAUACUGAAAUUGAAAGCCACAUAAUAGUACUAGAGUAUUAGACAACAUGAAUUAAACCAUAAGCAAAUCAAAAUGCUCAGUCGAUUUUGCAUCUCCCCACUAUGAAAAUACAAACGAUCGUUAACAGCUUCAGAUUCAUCUUUUUUGUUAUGGUUUCUCAAUCAAAAGAUGAUGUCAAAACCACCAGUAAACAUAAAAGCACAUAUGUAAGUGAAUAAUAAGAACAAGAAAUUACAGAUAACAAUGAAAAAUUAAAGAGAAAACAUGCAUAUAAAAGAUGAAUUAAUGAAAAAAGCGAAUCAAAAGACAUGCAAAUAGAAGAUGUUUCUAUUGAUUUGGAAUCAAUUAAAAAUUUCCAGAAAAACCGAAGAAGAAGAAAGAAAACUUAUGAACCUGUGAUUGAUUUUGAUUCUUCUAAUUCUCAGGUAAAACAUGAGACAGAGAGACAAAGAGAUUUAUAGUUCCAUUUUAUUAUUAUAAGAUUGAAUCAAAAAACUUUGUUCUUUUGGGAUUAGGGUUGGUGGCCGAAAGGAAAACGAGAACAAGAGAGAGAGGAAAAUACAUAGAAAUUAUGUAAAUGUAACAGCAUAUAACAUAAAGAAUAACAUAAAUCAUAUAUAAGAUCGGUUUAGCUCGGGUGCUUCGUUCGGACUCGGUUUACAACCGAACCGAUCGGUUAUCCGAAAGCCAAGAGGUUAAGACCCAUUCGGUAUUUAGCAUGGAUCCGUUACCGAUCCGAACCCGCUACUUCGGUACGGGUAAAGGUAUGGGCUUCGGGUAUAGUUAUUUUCGCCCAGGCCUAACGGAUGCUUUAAGGAGCUUUUAUAUGAAAAAAAUUUAGUUAUCCAUACAAAAAAUAGAUAUGUUAGUUUAUUUUGAAUCCCUACUUGUGUAUCCUUUUUCUACAUUUGUUUUGUUAGUUCUCAUUGUUUAGAACUAUUUGCCUAGAAAGCUUAACAAUACAAUCAUGUAUAAAAAACAGAUGAUCGGUCCAUCACUUGGCAUUAGUCGGAAAUCAUUCCAAACUCGGACCAGACAGUAUAGUAAUCAGUUUACUCUUUAACACUAACUGUAUUUUUUCCGGAACUGACCGGAUCAGUCGAUAUGUAUAUCAAACAAAAAACGUGAUUCUGUUAUUGUAUGAUUUAGACUGAACAUGUGCUCUGUUUUAAGUAAAGUUCUUAUGCUGUUUUUCGAGUUUUGUUUAUGCUAUGUUUUUGGAGUAUCUAGACUUUGACUUCAGCUUGCGUGAGCUUUUAUUGAAUUUCACUUUUGAGGGAAAAAACAGUACUUACUAGCUUCCACUUUUUUUUGUCAUCUGAAGAUUAUAUUAAACGGGGUAAACUAGCUUCCAAUUUUUUAUUACGUGUAGUUUUUACAUUUUCAGGACUAGCUUCCACAUUUUCCGUAUAUCACCACAUUUUAGAUGACAUAAGCAAUGAAUAUGGAAACGAAAAAAAUACAUUUUGGCAUGAGAAAAAUGCUUAUUUUCUGAUUGUUCUGGAAAUGAUUUUAAAAUUAAAAACCUUAAAUACAAAGUACACACAAAAAGAAUGACGAGUUCAAGAUUUCAUACAAGUACUGCAUCCCAUACUAAUGCAAAGAUAUAAAUACUUAUGAAUUAACCAAAUAGUAAUAAUUAAUUGAAUUUUCUUUAUUGCUUAUAAAAUUUAUCUCAUUUUAUAAUUUUAUGUAUACGAAAAAUAAAUAAAAAUAUUAAAAAUAAUAAUAUGGUGUUUUAUUUAUUCGUGCAAUUUUAUAUAAAAAUAUGAACGGUUCACUUAUUUAUUUUUGGUGUACAUCAAGUUGCAGCUAUUCUUCAGAGUUAAAUUAGAACUGGUUUGAGUUGUAAAUAGAUAAAAUCAGAUUAAUUUUGUUAAAAUGAAUUGUGUCCAGAUUAUUUUUUAGUUUUGUAAAAUAUGUUUUCUUAAUUGUUUUAUAUUUUCUUAUAUAGUAUUUGAGAACAGUAUGAAAAAUAAACUAAAGUGUUAUCAGUUUUUACCCAAGUUUAGUUUGGAUUAACUAAUAAUUAUCCCCAAGUUUAAUUUUAAUCGUUCAAUUUGUUAUUUAGUUUAAAGUUAGCUAUAACAUAAAAAAUAUAUGAUUGGAUCAGUGAUCAAAGAUCAAUAUAUGAUCUACUUCUAUUAUUUAUCAUAACUUUGCAUCAUUUCUAAUUAUUUGAUAUAAUAGAUAUAGUAAAAAAAUGUUAACUAUUUUAUUUGAAUAUAAUAAUAUAUUGACAUAUUUUUCUUAGGAAAUAUUUUUAAAAAAUAUAAAUUUAUGUUAUUAAAGAAACAAAUAAUAAGGGAAGUUAUUAUUUCUUAUUAUUUCAAAUAUUAUAAGUGCAAAAGGAAACAAAAAAAUAAAAUAAAAAUCUUAGUAAUGGUAUUGUCCAGAAUAUUUUUAAUUCAUUAAGGAUAAUUGUAAUUAACUAUUCUAAAAAUUAAUACGAAAGCGACACAUAAAAUUGACUUAUAAUAAUAUUAUAGAUGUUAUCUUUUAUGACACAAAGACCACAAUACAUCAGGAAUUUUUUAUGGAUUCCCAACAGUUUGUGGUUUCAAAUCGAAUCAUGAUACUUCAUUGAAAAGCCAAGACGGAUUCCAGACAGAUUUUUCUGACGAAAAAUUUUAAUACCUGAUUCCAAACACUUUGUCUUCCCCAUUCGUGUUCCCCAUUCUACUCUCUCUCUCUCUCUCUCUCUCUCUCUCUCUCUCUCUCUCUCUCUCUCUCUCUCUCUCUCUCUCUCUCUCUCUCUCUCUCUCUCUCUCUUCUCUCUCUCUCUAAAAGCACGAAACUCUCCUUUGUUGCCAUUCUCUAUCAAAAUUGUCUCCCUCUCUCCCAAAAUCAUCUCCAUUUUUAAUGAUAUUGUUAGAUCAUGUUAAAUUGUAGAUUUUACUGAUUUGGAAAUUAAUUUUAACUAUUUACACUUUCAUAUAUAUGAUUAACUAUCUUGAUUUUACUUAUUAUUUAGAAUUUGAGAGACAAUAGAAUUUCUAAAACUGGUUUGGGAGUGUAUGUUCAGUAAUCAGUUGAUUAUGUCUUAUCAAUACUUUUUUGAACUUGUUAUAUUUGCUUAUUGUUGAAUGUUUUGUUUUUGAACCAUGAAAGGUUAUUGAAUUAAAGAUUUUUGUAUUUCGUAUAUUUAUUUGGUCAUGUAUGAUUUUAAAUUUUGUUCGGAUAAAAAAAGUACUUUUUAGGUUUUAUGCGUACUUUUUGUAAUUUGGAUAUACAUACCCAAAAAAUACCGAAUCAGUUUUUUUUUUUUAAACUUUGAAUACAAAGGAACCAAAUCGAGUCAGAAUUGAUAAUAUUGGGGUUUUCUUAAAAGCCACACCCCUACUAAUCUGAACUGAUCAGAAUCAAUUUCUUUGUGGUUCCUAUUUGACUACUAGAAGUGAAAAACUGAAUAAUCUGAAAUCUGAACUAAUCGAACUGAACACAUAUCAGAAUCAAAUGUGCGUGCCUAGAUUAAAAAAAAAUCUCUAUGUAAAAAAAAUAUGUUUGUUUGAAAAAAAAAGAAUUUAAAGGAAAAUAAUCAUAACUACCAGAGAUAGUAGAAGAUUGCAUACUACUUCAAGUUUUUGACGAGCGGGAUCACCUCCACAGAAAUGUUAUCGCCAUUCGCAACAACCUCUCACAAAAAAAAUGUUUAAUUUGAUAUACUUAUAAUAAUUUUGUUAUUAUGCAAAAUUUAAAUGCUAAAUAAAACUAUUGUUUUAAAAUAUAGUUGUUGAUUAUUUUGGCUCUAACAAAGCGUUAUUUUAAUGAUAUGGAAAAAGCGACAAAAUAUAAAAAUUAAUGGCAUUAAUUGAGUUUCUGCAAAAUAUGAAUUACGGUUAGUUAAAAAUAUUCAAAAAUUAAUACUGGGUCAAAUAUUUAUCCUUUCUAAAACUCUAUUGAUUUUUUCUUUUCAAAUUUUUAAUUCAAAUAAUUUAGUAUAUUAUGUAAACGAAUAAAUACAAUUCAAAAAUAUAAAUAAAAGGAGAAAAAUUGUAAUGACUAACUAAUUAAAAAUUAAAAUACGAAUGCCACUGAAUUCAGUCUCCCCAAAUUUUGAUAUACCAUUUCUAAAACCGAAUCAGUUUUAUUUUUUUUUUAAAGUUUGAAUACAAAGGAACCAAAUCGAGUCAGAAUUGAUAAUAUUGGGGUUUUCUUAAAAGCCACACCCCUACUAAUCUGAACUGAUCAGAAUCAAUUUCUUUGUGGUUCCUAUUUGACUACUAGAAGUGAAAAACUGAAUAAUCUGAAAUCUGAACUAAUCGAACUGAACACAUAUCAGAAUCAAAUGUGCGUGCCUAGAUUAAAAAAAAAAUCUCUAUGUAAAAAAAAUAUGUUUGUUUGAAAAAAAAAAGAAUUUAAAGGAAAAUAAUCAAUAACUACCAGAGAUAGUAGAAGCUUGCAUACUACUUCAAGUUUUUGACGAGCGGGAUCACCUCCACAGAAAUGUUAUCGCCAUUCGCAACAACCUCUCACAAAAAAAUGUUUAAUUUGAUAUACUUAUAAUAAUUUUGUUAUUAUGCAAAAUUUAAAUGCUAAAUAAAACUAUUGUUUUAAAAUAUAGUUGUUGAUUAUUUUGGCUCUAACAAAGCGUUAUUUUAAUGAUAUGGAAAAGCGACAAAAUAUAAACAUUAAUGGCAUUAAUUGAGUUUCUGCAAAAUAUGAAUUACGGUUAGUUAAAAAUAUUCAAAAAUUAAUACUGGGUCAAAUAUUUAUCCUUUCUAAAACUCUAUUGAUUUUUUCUUUUCAAAUUUUUAAUUCAAAUAAUUUAGUAUAUUAUGUAAACGAAUAAAUACAAUUCAAAAAUAUAAAUAAAAGGAGAAAAAUUGUAAUGACUAACUAAUUAAAAAUUAAAAUACGAAUGCCACUGAAUUCAGUCUCCCCCAAAUUUUGAUAUACGAUUUCUAAAACUAAAAAUAUUUGCUUUUCAAUGUUUGAAUUCAUAUUACUUCUAUGUUUAAUAAGGUAGUAUGUAGGGAUAAUUUGCAAAAUACCCUAUAUAGGAUUUGAAAUUUAAACAUUGCAUUUUCUAAUUUAAUUUUUUGAAAACUACACUUCUUUAAUUAUGAAUUGACUUUUUUACCCAAGAUAUUUCAAUAAUUAAGAUAUUAAUUCGAAAUUAAUAUAUAAAUUCGAAAUUAAUAAAAUAAUAUCAAAAUAAUUUUGUUUAAGAUAAACAUGUUAUUUUAUUAUUUAUAAAAACAAAGAUAAAUAUGUGAAUUAUGAUUUGUUUUGACUUUAUCAUGAAGUUUAUACAAAUUUCCUUUUAUUUUUUUUCUUCAACUUAUAUAAACAAGUCACGUUGUUAAAAGAAAAAGCAAAUCACAUUUGUCUCCUACUAUCUUUUAUUUAGUUAUAUUGAAAUUUUGUGUUCGUUGGUUUGACAUAGUAUCAUGAUGGGAGGAUGAAACUUGCGGGUGUUAAAUUGACAGAUUUUGAACCGGGAAUGGAGAUGGAAAAGGAGGGCGAGCUGCCUUUGUCGAAAGUAGCAAUUGAUGAUAUCUUCUGAUGGAACAGGUUAAGUAGGAAAAAUACAUUAACAAAUGAGCAGUCUCAUCAUUCAAAAUUCAAGUUCUUUUAUCUUAUCAUUCCGCCAUUGCUCCUCAGUUACUUCCUAGUCACCUAACACACAAGUUCCACGUUUAUGAGGUUUUUGCAGUUGAGAUACUAGUACUAGUCACAAUAGUAACAAUACUAAAUAUUGCAGGACUUAUCCUGUGUCAACAUGACAUUGUAGUCCCUGAUUGUUACAACAUUUAUAAACUCCAAUAUUCACAUGAUUGUUUUCACACCUCCUUGAAGUCUUGUGUUUUUGUGCGUGAAUCUUCUCCACGUCUUCUUCGGUUGUCUCUACAACCGGAUAAUGCCUCCUUUCACUCAUAGGUAAGCAUAUCCUUCUUGUGCCGAGUAGCCUUGCUCUGUUUCUUCCAACAUGCGGCCUCUCCCGUGUAGUCGUCUUUAACAAAAGACUCCACACCACUCUCGUUAAUGAGCCAGGGGUUAUGCGUUUAUCUUCUCUAUGGCGGGGAGUUUCAGUUAUAAGUGUAACAAUCUCUUAGGUUAUAGUUUAACUACACCACCAUGCUGUCUUUUUGACUACUACUGUCUAGUUUCUACCAAAUCUAUGUUUUUAACUUCUUUAAAGGGUAACAAGUGUUGCAGAGACAAACGGUCUUGGACAAAGUAGGAGCUAAAGAAAUACAAAACAAAAAGUAGGAGCUAAAUAGUUCUCUCAUGGGAUCAAUCAGAUAAUAGUAUGAAACUAGAACGAGCAUUUACAAAUUUUGUGGUCUGCAAUUUCAGAGUCCAUCUACCGCAUAAACGACACUUGCGUCGAACUUGAACAGAAGCAGAGUUCUUCAAAAGGUGUAGAACAAAUGGAAAACAUAACAAAUGUUGUGAAAAUAAUCAACCUUAUUACAAAAUAAAACCAAAACAAUUACCAAAACCUAGAGUAACCAAAACCAAACAUUGCAAAAAAAAAAUCUAGAACAAACGUCUGGAACAGAACAAACUUCAAAUUCCAAAGUCGCAACUGACACGAUUGUGUCCUGAACGAUGACAUCUUGAGCAAGCUUGUUUUCGUGCUUUUUUUUGAGCUGUUGCUUGUUCUCCAAAGCAUUCAUAUCUUCUUUUCACAGGUCUUUCAGCACCUCUUUUAACAUCUGGAGGAAAGCAUUUAUAAGCCACAACAUGUGGAGGUAUUUCGCUUGCUUACAGCAACUCAUCUAUGGGUCUUAUAAUCUCUGAAUAUGCAGCACACAUGUUUGCCUUUGAGUAGUAUUGAUGCAUCAAUAACCCAGGGUUAAAGCCUCGACUUGUUGCAGCCUUAGCAGCAUGCUUACAAGGGAUCUUGUCAACAUUAAACACAUUACAUGUGCAAGUCAUUUGUUGAAGAUCAACCAAGUAAUUUCUUGACCCAUCAGUAACCUGAAACUCAUGUUGAUUUAUUGACUGAACAUCAAAAGUAGACGCCAAAUCACACCUUCUAUUGAGCUUCUUUUCAACUUUAGGCGUGAGAGAAGAUUUGAGCAUCACAGCACUUUCUCGAUGGUUGAAAAAUCACCGUGUAAGCAGAAUUAGAAAUUAAAAUCUGAUUGAUGAAUCAACAAAUCUCUUGAGCUGAGAGGAAGAAUCUGUAAAACUAGAGAGAAAGGAAAAAAAAUUCAGAAAUUGAAUGGAUAUGAGAAGAAGACGAGAAGACGAGACUAGUCUUGCGUUCUUUAAUUUUUUUUCAAAAUAAAAAAAAAACUUAAGAUAUAUUAAAAAUAUAUGGGAAAUAUAUUGUGUAGUAUAUUAAAAAGAUAUUCCCUAUUCUCUAACGAUUUUCUUUUAAAAUAAUUUUAUAAAAAAUUGUUUAAUAGGAAUUGAUAAAUAUAAAGAUUGGGCAAUUUGGUAAAUUUAUAUAUAGAUAAGUGUAUUUUUCAGAAAGGUUAAACAAAAGUGCAUUUUUCAAAUUAUAUUUUAUUGAAGUGCAUUUAUCCAAAUUUUCCCUAGUAUUAAUUUAGUUGUGGUCAAUACUCAAUAGGAUAUUACAGUAUAUGUAAGGACGAUAGUGAAGUAACUCCAAAAAAAUACUCCCUCCAGAUUUGAAUAUAUGAUGUUUAAGGUUGUGCACACAUAUUAAGAGAAAUUAAAUACUUACUUUUAUCAAAUACUUUUGGGUUUUGCUUUUAGUUAGUUUAAAGAUUUAUUUGAAUCCCAAUAAAAUUCAACCACUUAUAUUUUUUACAUUUUGAUUUAUAUUUUAUUUUAAAAACAAAAUGCAUUAAUGAAAAGUAGAACAUUAUGGGGAUGAUUGGUUGGGGCUGUAGAUGCUCUGGACAGCCAAAAUUUAGUCUAGAGCUAUAUAUCUCAACCAAUCGAGCUUUGCUUUCCUUAAAAACCUCACAGCAAAAAAAUCUCUGCAAAAUCAAAAUAUGGCUGUAGAGAGCUUUAUUUCCAGAGCAAAAAAAUAGUGCUUUAGAAAUCUACAGUAAGGAAAGCUACAGCAAAUAAAUCUACAGAUUAAAUUCUACAGCAAAAAAUAUAAAGCUACAGCACUUACCAAUCAUCCCCUAUACAUUUGUAUACAAGGGAAAAAACUAAAACAUCAUAUAUUCAAAUCGGGAGGGAGUAGUAAAGAGCAUUCAGUACUCUCUCUCUCUCUCAUAAAAACACAGCCAAUGACCUUCUCGUGGUCUUCUGUGCCAUAAAAAUCAUUAUAUACAUUCAAACACCAAUCUGGCGCCACACACACAUACUCUCUUCCUCUCUCUCCUUGUAUGAGUGGUGAGAUGGUUAUCCCUAUAAGGUGCAGCAUCGAACCAUCUGCAACAUUUUUACUCGUUUUCUUUUUGUGUGUUUUCCAGCAAGUGUCUCUUCUUCACUCUCCCCAACGACCCUCUCUUCCAUUCAUAACUCUUUCUCUCUCCGGGCAAAAUGGAUAACUUCUUGCCCUUUUCCUCUUCUAACGCAAACUUUGUCCAAGAACUCUCAAUGGAUCUUAACAACAAUCGCUCACGCUUAUCAACGUUCCCUACUUAUGAUCAUCAUCAUCAGGCGCAGCCUCGCUCGUUGCAACCCUACUCAUAUGUUGCAUGUCCUGUGGAUCAGACGGCGGCUAUGAAUCCUCAGAUCCCGGUUACACAAACCGGAAGUGAGUUCGGUUCUCUGGUUUGUAAUCCCGGUUUCGGACAAGCAAGAGGUGGAUUUCUUGAUCCACACACGGCUAAGAUGGCCAGGAUCAACAGAAAGAAAGCGAUGAUAAGAUCAAGAAACAAUUCUAGCCCUAACUCUAGUUCGAAUGAGCUGGUUGGUUCAAGGAGACAAGUGGUUCUUACCAUGAAAAAUAAUGCCGAGAUAGCAGCAAGGAAAGAUCUCUAUCGAUAUCCCUCAUUCGAUAACAAGGUUUGUUCCAAAUAUUAGAUAUUUUCGAUUUUAUAUAUAUAUAAAACUUGAUCAAACGUUUUGGAUUUUGUGGUUGACUGUAGAAGCUUAGGGUUUUGCUGGUGAAACACUUGAAGAACAGCGAUGUUGGAUCACUUGGGAGGAUCGUUCUACCAAAGGUGUGUAAAUUCUUACAAUUCUUUUAUCCAUCGUUUUCGUUAAGGUGUAAAGAUAAAAUAAAUUUUAUAGGUAAAACAUUAAUAUGAAAUAGUUAACUUUAAUAUGAAAUAGUUAUCAAUCACGUAACUACGAAAUUUGAAACCUCAAUUCCAUGGAAAAGUUUUAGAAAAGUAAUAUGGUUUCAGGAUUUGGCUGGCCCCUUUUUCAAAGAAGGUUUGUGGAACAAAAGUACAUAAGUCAUUGCGGCCACAAACUCUCAUUAAGAAAUUUCACUGAGAUUUUUUCUAACAUUUCAUUCCAUUUUUAAAAUAUAGUAGUAGUAUAUUUAGCGAUUUCGUGGUUUAACCAAUUACAAGUUCAGUCUCUAAAAACAACACGGAAAACAAGGGGAAUGUGAAACAUGACAACAAAAUGUAGAAUGUAGUAAAGUUGUUUAUAGUAUUUGUGUUUGUUCAAGUACGAAUUUUUAUGACAUUUUUAUAGAUUUUUAGUUUAGGAAGAAUAUGGAUUGUUUGUAAAUUCUAACUAAGCUGAUUUAUUUAAAGAUAUCUGGAGUUUGAAGGAUUAACAAAUUCUUCAAGUUUUGGAGUGAAAAAAUCUAAAUAGAUUCAAUAUAGUUUCCUUUUUGUAACCAAUAAGGAAAAGACAUGAGUGAUAGAACAUGAGAAAUAAUCAAUUUUAUUCUACUACUAGAUAAAGUGAAACUGUUUAUAUGAAUUUAUUCCAAAAUGAUGCUGAAGAAAAAUAAAGUCGUCUAUUUGCCUUUCCUAAUUAAUUGACUCUUAAAUGGUAUACCUCGAAAUCAUUAUGGGAAAGUAUCAAGAAACAAAAAAAAACAAUUUGGAAAAGAGGUUCAACGAUAUUUACUUGAUACUGACUGAAACAAAUUAUAAUUGUCUGUUAUCUGUCUUAAUUAAAACAGUAAGAAAGUCAUUUUUCGAUAAGAAAAGUCAUUAAAUAAUCCCUUAAAUAAGUCAUGGCUUUGGAACGCAGAGAGAAGCUGAAGGGAAUCUUCCGGAGCUAUCUACUAAAGAAGGAAUGAUAGUAGACAUGAGAGAUGCGGACUCUAUGCAGAAUUGGUCUUUCAAAUACAAGUUAAGUCUCGUUUUCAUCUCUUAUAUGAACUCAAUUAUAUUCACAAAAGCAAUUUAUUAAUCGUUUUAUUUUACCAAUGGGUUAUAACAAUCUUUUAAGCUCACUUUUUGAUGAUUUCAAGUUAGAAUUUUUAUCAAUGUCAAUUUAAUGUCAUACUUAAAAAAGCUUGUAUCACUGUGAACAUAGGUUCUGGUCCAAUAACAAGAGCAGAAUGUAUGUCCUUGAAAACACAGGUAAUUAAGGAGCUACUAUAUUCUUUUUAAAGUAUACUACUUAUUUAAACUAUUUUAUUAUAAUACGUUUUUCCUUUUGUCUUAAAAAUUAAAGGACAAUUUGUGACUGAAAAAAGAGUUGAGAUUGGAGAUUUUUUAACAAUCUACGAGGACGAAAGCAAGAAUCUCGUGAGCUCUCUUAUUAACUCUCUUUUCUUGUUUUAUUUUAAAAAAGACAAAACUCUAAAAUAAACUAAUAAUGAUUGAUUAGCAGUCCGAAAUUGGAAAUUUAAAAAGUGAGCCAUUAAAUUGUGUUUGUUAAGCAUCUAGACAAAAACUUAUUGCCUUUUUGACCUUUUCUGUCGAUGAUAGCUGUCCGUAUAAGGAAGGUACUAUAAGAAUUUCAAACCUUAGUUUUAAUAUACUACUGAAAAUCGAUUCUUUAUUCUUUUCUUUUUUUUGCUAAACUGAAAAUUAAAGACAUGAUAUAUUCUUUCAAAAAAAGAUGUGAAAUAUAUGAGGGUGACUAGUAUUAAUUUAAAUUUUAUGUUUAAUAAAAUGCUUCUUCUAUUUACUCAUAUUUUUAUUCUACUAUUUUGCUAAGUAGGGAGUGAUGUAAUAUGUUUUUCUCUAGAAAAGUUGUUCUUUUUAUCAGCCAAUUUGUUUGGUUUGACUACAUAAACUCUUUGUUGACAAAAAAAAAGCCUACAUAAACUCUUCCAAAUUAACAAACUGUUUUUAGGAUUUGAUUUCAUAUCAGAAAUAAUUUCUUUUAGAAAAAUAUUAUUUUUAUUUAUCUAAAUUUUUUCAAUUUUGAAGAUAAUUUAUUUCUCCAUUAUUUUCGACAAAGUUCAAAUUUAAUAAAAAUAUUUAGUAUACUAUUUUCUAGUUAUCCUCACAAAAUACUUUUUAUUAGCAUAAUAAUAUAAUGUGCAAAAUUUAGUUCAUACGUACUUGAAUUUUAUAACUAAGACAAAUUGUUUUGUAAUUAGAAACCUGUAAAUGACAUAUUGGCAUUUAACUGAGUAGGAGUAGUGUUUUGGUUCAAAAACAUGGAACUUAUUUACUACUCUACAGUUUUUCAUAGGUUAUUUAAUUUUCCUUUGGAUAUUAAAUAAUCUAAUAUUUAUAAUAUUUAAAUCUCCUAACUUUUUCAGUUGUUAAUCAUUUAUAAAUUCAGCCAAUUGCUAAGACACCUUAAAGCAUGAUUAACCUCGGUUUUUUAGCCGGGAUUCUUAACUCAUGAUUUGACAUUUUUUUAUAUAUUUUUUGGUUAAGAAACAGUUUUUUUAUCUCUUAUUUAAGAGACGGUUCUUAGCUAUUCUUAGUUAAAAUCCAAAAAAAGUUAAGAAUCGUCUCUUAUCCAAAAUUAAGAACCCCAGUUAAAAGACUGGAGUUAAUCAUGGUCUUAUAUAUGCAUGUUUUGUUUGUUUGGUCUUACUGCAGUACUUCUCCAUAAGAAAGCACGCAGACAAACCAAAUGAAGGAAGAGAAGAUGAGUCGAUGGAAGCCAACGACAUGAACUUCUACGAAGAUAUUGCGUUUGAUUUCAUACCAAAAGAUGAAGACGAAGAUUCUAUUGCAAUGCUCAUCGGAAAUCUAAAUGAUCACUAUCCCAACCCAAACAAUCGUAUGGACCUCCCAAUCGAUCUUCAUCAGCAUCAUCAAGCCACCUCAUUGCCACCUGCGGAUUACAUGACCAAUCCUCAGUAUGGUGGUUCCUCCAAUGAUCUCAUGAGCUUUAACGACUUCGUAUGGUGAUGCGAUUGAAGUUGAUAUAGCUAUAUAGAAGUGGUAUAAAAAAUUUAAAAAGAAAAGAUUAUCGCUCAUCAUAUUCAUAUCUAUCUAUUGAUAAAGUAUUUUUGUCAAUCUAUUAUUUAUGAAAAAUAAUAUUAGUUACAUAUAUAAGUUUCAUUUGGGUUUUAUAAAGCAUAAGAGAUAAUAGACGAAAAUAUAAUUCAGGAAUUAAAAAAAAAACAAUAUUUGGGUUCAUCCCUAAGAUGAAUGGUUAAAUUUACCUCACUUUUUAUAAUCAACCAAAGUGCCAUGUAAAAUUAAUUAAAAAGAUAAUAAUUUUAAAAAAAAAAAAUGGCUGAAAAAAUCAGCACUGACAUUAACACCGUCUACAAAACCCGAAAUCUAAAAUCUAAACCUUAAACCUUAAAUCUUAAACUCUAAUUCCUAAACCUAAAAAAACUUUAAACCAUAAACCCUAAAUACUAAAUACUAAACUCUAAACCCAAAGCUCUAAACCAUAAAUCCUAAACCAUCAAUCCUAAACCUUAAACUCUAAACCAUAAAUCCUAAACCCUAAACCCAAAACUCUAAACUAUAAAUUCGAACCCUGAUCAAGUGAUGGAUUUAGGGUUUAAUUUAGAGUUGUGUUUUUUGGGUUUAGGGUUUAGGAUUUAGGAUUUAGGGUUAGGUUUUUGGGUUUAGGGUUUAAGAUUUUGGGUUUAGAAUUUAGGGUUAAGAGUUUUGGAUUUAGAGUUUAGGAUUUAGAGUUUUGGGUUUAGGAUUUGGGGUUUAAAGUUUAGGUUUUAGGUUUAGGGUUUAGAUUUUUGAUUUUUAAAGUUUCGGGUUUUGCAGACGGCUUUAACGUUGGUGUUAUUUUUCUCAGCCACUUUUUUUUUUAAUUAAUCGUGCAUGACAAUUUGGUUGGUUAGGUGAAUUUAACUAUUCACUAGGCCUGAGCAUUCGGGUCCUCGGGUCGGGUUCGGGUCGGGUCGUCUCGGGUCCGGGUCCUUCAGAUCUUAGAGUUUAGGACCCGAUAGGAUAAUUUGAAAAUUUCGGUUUCGGAUCGGUUCGGGUUGUUUCGGGUUCGGGUAAAGGAUAUAGGAACCGGUAAUACCCAAGUAUUUUCGGGUCAUACAACUUUUCGGGUCGGUUCUCGGGUUUUCGGGUCUUUUAAGGAUUUUCGGGUAUUUUUAAUGGUUUACGGGUCGGUUUUCUUCAUUCUCGGUUCGGGUUUGUAAUAUUCGGGUCCAUAAUACCCUAUAUACCUGAGCUUUACCCUAUAUUUCUGUAAAAACCUGAAAUGAAUUGUUAUGUAAAAAAGUUUAAAACGAGCAAUAAGAUUAAUGAUUCUAAUCUUUCUAUGACAAUUUUCAAACUUCAUACUUCAUUAAAAACAACAAAUUCAUAACAAUACCACAACUUAGUAGCAGAAUGACAAUAUAAAGUUUUACCAUAAGAAGUUUUAAACAUGAUGAGUGCAAAUUCAAAAACAAAAACAACAACAACAAACCAACAACAUUCAAUAGUCUCAGUCUCGAACUUUUGAAUCUUCUACCAGCAACAUUCAACCUUGAAACACAGGUUCAAAUUCUGUAACAAAAAGAUCAAUGCAACAAGUCAAUACCAAAAUACAAAACAUAAUGCCAUACGAAUUAAAGAGUUUAAAAACCAGAAUUAUACCUCUCAUAAGAUCAUCUUGCUCCUCUAUCAGCUUAAGCAUUUGUUCCUUUCCUUUGAUUCCUUUUUCUUUGAGUCUAAUCUCGCAUUUGAGCCACUGCUCCGUGCACAUUAGUACUUCAAUCAUAAAAUGCGUCAAACAGCUUCUGCUUGGGUCUAAAAUUCGUCCACUGGUGCUGAAGGCAGAUUCAGAUGCAACUGAACUCACUUGCAUUGCAAGUACAUCCUUAGCUAACGUUGACAGAACCGGAUACUUUCCACUAUUAACCCUCCAGAAAGAGAGUACAUCAUACUCUGCAACAAUGACAAGCUUAUUCAUCUUCUCAGGAUUUGUUCCAAAUGGAUUCCAAUACUUGCCAAGCUUCACUAACAUGUUUGCUGCCUUAGACCUUAAAAUCUCAUCAGGACCAGGAGCAGUGCUUAAAGCACUAAUGUUCCUUGUUACUGUGAUGAUCGCAUGAUACAACUUAUGCGCAGUAACAUGAUUUGUUGCAGACAGAGUCAAAGUAGCCUGGUAGAAAAUAAUUAAGAACUGGACUAACCUAUCAACAGCUUCCCAAUCCUCUUUACUUGGUGGUCCAACUUGCUUUUGUCCAUCCACAAUCUCAUUGAAGUAGUCGUUGUAGGGCUUGUCCUCAGCUUCCAUCUUCUCAAAAGCCACCUUGAACUUUAAUGCUUGCUCCAGCAUCAAAUUGGUCGCAUUCCACCUAGUUUUCACAUCCAAAGGUAAGCUUCCUCUCUGAAGUCUUCCUGACUCUACAUGUCGCUCAAAAGAAAUCUGCCUCUGAGUUGAAGACCUCACAAAAUAAAUGGCAUUACGAAUGGCAUUGACACUGCUCUCUAUCUCCAGCAAACCCUCUUUAACAAUCAGAUUGAGAAUGUGAGUAGCACACCUAAAAUGCAGAAACUUUCCAUCUAGAACCAAUGCAUCAGCGCCAUUUUUCUCAAUAAAAGCUUCAGAAAACUUUCUCAAUGCAGAAGUAUUAGCUGUGGCAUUAUCUACAGUUAUGUCAUACACCCUUUUGAUAUCCCAUUCCUCUAAGCAAUCAAGAAGUACCUUAUAAUCCAGAAAAAAAAACAAGAAUCAAAAUCGGGUUACAUAACAACAACAUGGACAUUAUCAACUUAAUAAAAAACAGAAACAAGCGAUAAAUUCAGUUUAAAAAAUUCAGUUAAAUCCAAUGAGCAAGAGAUAAAUUCAGUUAAAAAACUCAGUUAAAUCCAUUGAGCAAGAGAUAAAUUCAGCUAAAAAAAUUAAAUCCAAUGAGCAAGAGAUAGAUUCAGCUAAAAAAAAUUAUAUCCAAGAAGUACCUUAGAUAUUGUUGAUCCUUUGUGAUCAUACACAUUCUUGAAUCCAAUGAUGAGUUUCCUCAAAUGCCACGAGCUGUCUACAAAAUGCGCCGUAAUGACCAUGUAGCUGUCACCGGUAUGAGGAGCAUUCCAAAUAUCAGUCGUCAGUGACAGCCGUUGAUUGUUCUCCUUCAGAAUCUUCUUCAUUGCCUCUUUCUUUUGCACAAAGGUCUCAACAAUAUCUCGGGUUGCUGUUCUUCUAGAAUGAGGCACGUACAACUUAGUCUUGUUGCAGAAGUUCCUCCAAGCUACGCUCUCCACCCAAGAUAAAGGCAACUCUCCCACAACCAUCAUCUCAUUUGUCUCGUGUCUGAAGACAGAUUCAGAUACUCUGCACACUCUGACGUUACCAUCUUCUUCGACAUCUAAAGCAUCUUGAGUAUUAUCUUUGUUCACAGCUAACCAUGCUUGGUAAGCCUUGCACGCAAGAUUCACAUGUUUCUUCAAGCUUGUUGUUCCUGAUCUUGUUGCACAUGCCAUCUCUUUCCCACAAUAGUUGCAGAUGGCUCUAUCAUUGUCUUCUCUCUUUCUAGUAAAGUGUUCCCAAACCUUUGACGUCCUCUUCUUUUCUGACCUUGAGCCACUGCAGUUUUCGGUUUUCUUUCGUUUUCCUUUGUUACGAGAGAGUGGAGUCUCAAUUUCAUCUUCUGAUAUAUCUACUGGUGGAUCAUCACCACAAGACGCCAUCUGCAUUAUAGACAAAACAAAAAUCAAACUCGGAUUAUGUAACAACAACAACGACAUGUUCUAAUAAUAAACAGAAGUUACAGAACACAAGACUACAAGAGUCAAGAGAAAUAAACAUUGAGUUUAAUCAAACAUUGAGGUUUAAUCAAACAUUGAAGAUCAAGAUCAGAGGAACAGAAACAGAAGAGAUAAAUACAGUUUAAAAAACUAUAAACAAGAAUCAAGCUUGGGUUUAAUCAACAAGAAUCGAUACCAUAAACAAGAACCAAACUCGGAUUAAAACAAAAGCCAUAAACAAAAUCGAGACUUACCCUGCUUUUAUUUGUAGACAAUGCUGUCGCUGAUGAAGAAGUGGGUAGGGUUAGGGGGUUUCGAAGGAGAACUUGAUUAUGAUGAGAUUCCAGUUUGAUAAUGUUUGUUGAUUUCGGAUUUAUAUGUUGAUAGAUCAAUAAAGUAGCGACUCUUCGAUUCAAAUUUUUUUUUAGGGGAGUGGAACGAUGUAGGAGGAGGUGUUGCUGCAUCGGGGAAGCCGGGAAGAGAAGAGAUAGAUGUAGGCUGGUUUAGAUAGAUGUAGGCUGGUUUAGGUUUGGUUUAGGGAAUUGAUUCGGGUCUAAAAUUAACCCUAUCGGAUAUAGGGUACGGUUCGGGUAGGGUACUCUACCCGCGGGUCCGUAGUCUCAAGACCCAAUAGGGUAAUAUGGUGUCACCCGAACCGGGUUUUUCGGGUCGGUUCCGGUCCACAUUUUCGGGUCCGGGUAAAAUGCUCAGGCCUACUAUUCACCAUGGGAGUGAGCCUAAGUAUUGUUCAAAAAGAAAUCAGCAAUAGCUGAUCGACUAAGUAAUAGAUAAAUAUUUCCAUUUGCAACAUUUAUAACAAUGUAACUAUGUAUUUAGUUACUAGGUGAUUCGUCCGCGCAUGCAUGCAUAGUCAUUAUAAAAUUAUUUAUUAAUAUCAUUAUUAAUUUAUAGACCAUCAUUAUAAGUUAUUGUUUAUGCUCUCAGAUAGUUUAAAAAAAACAUCACAUUAUUUAUAUAUGAAUAAGUUGUUUAUCAAAAUAUAUAUUCUUAUUAUUGUUUUAAAAAUUUUGCAAUCAUGUAUUAUACAUAUUUUGAAAAGUUCGUUACUGUAUUAAAUUCUUAGAAACUCUCAUGUAUUAUAAAUAUUUUGAUUUUUUCGCAAUUGCUUUAAAUCUUUUUAGAAAUUCUCAUGUAUUAUAAUAUAUUGAAAAAUAUUUGUAUACACUACAUUCAAUUAAACAUUUAAUUAUGCAUCUAUUUAUAUCUUAAUUUAUAUUUUUAUUUAUGAAAAAAUUGGAUAGUAACAAAGUAUAUGUAAGAAUUAUUUUUUAUUUUAAAAAAUAUGUUUCUAUAUUUCAACAAUUUUAACUGUAUUAAUUUAUAAUCAAUUAUCUAACAAAUAAAUAAUUUAGUUGUUCAUUAAAGUUAACCACUCUAACUUUUACGUGAAAGUUCGGAUCGAAAAAAAUUAUUUUGUAAAUAAUAAAUUUGUCAAAACCGUGUAUAUAUAAUUAAAAAGUGAUUUUCUGAUUAAUUAGAUAAGCACGUCUAAAACUUUGAUCCAAACCCUAACCGAUAUACAGUAUCUAAGCCCAGCCCUUUUGGUCCUAUAAAUAGACUGUACUACUUACCAGACUUUUAACUCUGGAGUAUGAGUCUAAGAACCUAAAACAGAGCCCAGAUAAGUAGCCAUAGCAAUAGUUUAAAAGCAUUUUUUUAUUGCUAUGAGGUAUCAAGGUCGUAAUCCCUCCGAGCUCGAAAACACAACACUUAAUAUAAUAUAUUAGGAUCGGCCUGCGCUACGCGCAUGAUAUGAUUGUCCCGUGGUCUAUAUAUUAUUAUAUAUUGUACAUUUUUAUUGCGCUGCCAAUUGUUGCCAUACAUGAGAUUAUGUGUUCUUUGGAUGUUAGGUUGUUGACUUGUAUUAUUUUUAUAUUUGUUUGGAUAGUAAAAGUGGUUUUGGCUGACCGAAUGAGUAUAAAUAGAACUAAUAACUGAUAGUUGUAACAGAGUAAAUGAAGUUGAACUAAAAACAUAUUGUAAAGUUGAUUGUACAAAAUGGAAUUUGUCAAUGCAUGUAUUUUAUAUUAUUUCGUGGGUUAUUGAAUAUAUCGAAGAAUGUAAUUUUUGUUGUGAAUUUUUCCUGAUUUUGAGGUAAAUAUGGUGUGAACAUGUAGGAAGUUUAUGGUGAACGUAUAAUACUCCCUCCCUUCCAUAAAAAUAUACUUUUUAGUAUUUUCACACAUAUUAAGAAAACACACUAAAUUACUAUAAUAAAUAUAUUGUUUUCUGUAAUUUUCAAUAAUUUUUAACCAAGAAUAAUUCAAUAAAGUCAAUUAAUUUUCUUGAAGUUUACAAUUUUUCUAUAGAAAACACAAAAAAUACAUCUUUCUGAAACAAAUGUUUUUUCUAAAAAAUCUAUCAUUAAAGAACGGAAGGAGUAAUAUAGUAAAUUUUCUUCAAUGUCAGUUACAGAUUUCGUAACAAUUGUUGUCAUUUUUUCCUAUUUAUGUUUUUUGUGGCGCUUUUUUGCUUAGUUUUAGGGUGCAAUAAUAAUAUGAGGGAAUAGGUUACUGAUCAGUUUAUUUUUCAAGAUGUUGGUUACAUUGAAUUGUUGGCUAAUGAGUAAUAUUUAUUUUUGCAUUUUUUAUUUGUUUAUUUAUUUGGUGAUGUCAAGUAUUGCUAAGCUCACAUUUUUGUGGGUUAGAUAAUGGAAAAUUCUCUCAACUAGACAUUUUUAAGUUUUUGUCACAAAAGUAUACUUAAAAAAAUGACCAAAAUAAUCCCAUUUUAUUUUAAAAUUUGUAAUAUUUAUUUUUAAUUUUUAAAAAUUUGAAACAAUAUCUCCAAAACCUUACCCCGUAACUCUAAACCCUAAGUCUAGAUUAGUUAAUCAUAGGGUAAAAAUAUAUUUUUAUCAUUUAAUAAAACUUAUUUUGGUCAUUUUCUUCAUUGAGCAGUAUUUUUGUGACAAAAACUUAAAAAGCGCUAUUCUAGGAAAUUUUUCUUAGAUAAUUGGUUAUUUUAUAUUUCUUAGAUGUGGUUUUUGUCUUUUGAAAUUUUUAUGAAUUACAAAUCUUAUUCUAAAAAUGAAAACAUAGCAUUUUUUCAAAUAUUAUACAGAUUAGAUGCAUGGAGAAGAGAUGACGCAAUGUUCGUAGUAGAUUUGGUUGAUUUUGAGGACUGAUUAAAAUAAAAAUAGAACUAACUACAUAAGGUAAAGCAACGUAUGCAUAACCUUUUUUUUUUUUUUUGAUAAAACGUAUGCAUAACUUAAACUUAAACAAAGAAGACAUAAACACACACAGAAAGAUUUAGGAAGAAAAAAGGCUUAAUAUCUGAAUGGAGGAUUAAGUUUCAAGAUUUCAAAUUUGUAUUAUUAAUAGUUAAUUAAUGAUAAACAAAUCCAUAUAAAUAUAGGAAAAUUAUUAUUAUAAUUUUAUGUUGAGUGUAUGUAUCCCUUUGACAUCAGUGUUGAUCUGUGUUUACUUCUGCAGGUUAGUCGUGUUUGUAAUUCCUGUGAGUGGGAGGUGUGUGAUAUUGUUAAUUAAUUAUUAUGGUAAGAUGGAAUCUUCGGAUUGUUCUAACUACGGGUUGCUUCAAGGAAAGGGAGGUCCUGGGUAUUGAUAUGCCUGGUCUGGAGGUGUGUGUUAGCUGUGUUGUAGUUAGUGGGCACCUGUAUUUUAAAUUGUUUGUUCUAACUGUUCUGGCAUGCCGACGGUCUAAUUGUACAAAAAUUUAAAUUAUUAGUGCGCACGGUUUAAUUUAUAAUGUUAUGGAUUGUAGUGAAGAGAGUGAUGAUGUAACGGUGACCUUUACGCAAUUGUAUUUUGAUAAUGUGACCAAUUAUAGUAUAGUUUCUAGUAGGUACUCUGAGAGUAUUAGUGGUUGCAUGUUGACAAAACGCACAUCUAAUUUUAUGUGUAGAAUAAAUUUUUAGUGCCUCACUAAAUUUUUUGACCUUGCUGGGUUUAGAGAUGCUCGGCUUGCAUCUGAAGAUGCUAUUUUUUUCCUGAGAUGAAACAUUAAAAAGCAUGUUAAAUCAUAUGUUUUUGAAAUUAUUGACAACACCCAAAUUAUCAUUGUAACGAUGCUCUAACAUUUGAAUAUCAGUACAUUAGCUUGGAUGCCGAUGUUAAAAUGUGUAAAUCGUUGAGAAUGACUUGAGUUAAUUAAAAAGACGGUUCAAACCAAAGUUAAUAGACUUAUAAUGCAACUGGAUUGUAAAUAUUUGGAAUGGAAUGAUGUGGAAUGGCCUAUUCCAUUAAUUCUAUAAAAAAAUUUACCAUUUGACAUGAAUGGAAUGUAAUACUCAUUCCAUCAAUUCCAAAAAUAAAUAGAGAAAAUACAAAGAGAAUCAUUCCAUAACAAAUUUGAUCAUGAAAAAAUGGAAUGAAUUCAAUUCCAUUUUUUGCUGUAUUCCAUUCCUACCAUUCCAUUUAUUUUAAAUUCCACAAAUUCCAUAUACGUUUACCGGUUACACCCUUAGAAAAAGCAAACACUAACAGUUCCAAAUAAAUUAUUGGAUCCCAAAAUGAAACGUAAAAAGUUAUAAUGGUCUACAUAAAGUGCAUCUGGCCCAUUAUCUCCAUCGAUGGAGUGUAUAUUAUCUCUUUCAUCUGUGCAAUCAAAGAAGUUGAAUGUUGGAAACUGAUGUUUGAAGAAUCAACUCUUUCUUUCUCUGUUCUUGGUUUCUUAGUCUUCCAUUGAUUCUCAUAGUAUAUGAGCUUGAGACUUCCAUUCUCAGAAUCAUACUGAGGAUGGUGAACAAUAAGGACGUGACUUCCUGUAUUGUCUCUGUUUCUCUUCAAAGACUUGGGUUUUGUUAUUGAUCUGUCAUGAUCUCUCUGUUUUCAGUCUUCUGUCGAUAUUGUUGUUGCUGUUUGUCGUUGCUGAUAACAAACAAUUGAGCGAUGAAAGAUCGAUCGAAGUAGCUUUGUCACCAACAUGUUGAAUUUCACCAAUGACUCAAAUUCGUGCACAAAUGAGUUGGUGAGAAGAAGAGCAGAGUUCUUAGCCAUAAGCUUAUUUCAUCCCCAUAUCAAAUCUGAUCCUUGAUGCUCCAUGAUUUUGCUCUCUCGGGUCACUCCAUAGAUAUCUUGCGCGUAAACGGAUUCUAAUCCUUCCAUUGGAUCAAACAAAGCCCUGAGAAAACCAACAACGCCAAUGUGAGAAACAAAGCAAGUUUUCCAUAUAGAAAUGAUCAUUUCAUGGAACUUAUCUCCAUCUAUAUUCAUGUUCAUCUGUCCACAAAAACCAAAUUUUCAGGUUUGAAGUUUUCUUAAGAUGGUUGAACAAAAAAAAAGUCUUCUUAAGAUUAAUCAAUGUCUUGCAAACAUAUAUUAUAUAACGUUUGUAGUCAUACAUUAUUUUCAGCCAAGAUAGGAGGGAGUAAUGGUAGGAGAAUCUUCAUUGGCGGACUUGAACUCCUGCGUCUUGAGGUUCAACCCUGGCUUCACCCAUACUUUGGCUUCAUAAAGUGUCUUCUUCCCAACCCCCAAUGAUCUCCAGGGUGAGAUGAUGCAUCGUUUUUUCUACAACUUUUUCUUUCUCGUUCACCACCGCACAAACUUGACCACUGCAUUAUACGAUUUUGAAAAACCAAGAGCCCAAAACAUUACUCAAUGAUAAAAUCACUUCCAAGCCUGGCCAGAGAGAUCUAUAUAAACGUACUCAUCAUCCACCAUAAAUCAAUUCCCAAGAUCUACACUUAUCACACUGAAAACACUAAACAUGCGAAGGUAUAACAGUAACUGAAAGCAAGAUGAAUAAUUAGAAAUAACACUAAAUCCCGUUAUAGAUUAAACGGAUAUCAAAGCAGAAACAUGAAUCGAUAACAAAAGCUAUCAUAACAAAUUUUGGUUUUAGUGUAAGAAAAGAAAAAAAUAAAACUUAAAACUAAAAGCUUAAAACAACUCUUCCAGAAACAAUGACCAUGUGCAUAAACUGAAAUAAGUUAAAUCUCUCAGAAACCUAAGAGGAAAAACUGGUGAAUUUUACGGAAGGAAACUCACAUAUUUAUAGGUUGGAUUCACACGAUGCAUUGAUGAGGGCAUGCAUUUAAUCAGACAUCGUGGGAAGAGUGGAGGAUUGGUGUUAAUCUGAGCCUUAAUGGUGAUGCUUGAAUGUGGUCGACUUAUGUAACGGUGCUGGAUUUCGUUGCCAGUGAAACGACUCCAAUCGAUUAGCCACAUGAUUUUGUUUACCGGUUAAAAGAGUUCAAACCGAUUAGUCACACACGGCGUCCUCCAACUGAGUCUGGCCUGAGUUAGGGGCUGUUUGUUUCACCAUUUGUCAUCUCCAUCCAAAUGAUUCAUUUGUAUGAUCCAUUCAGAUUUUUCUGAUUGUUUGUUAAUCCAUCCAGAUAAUUCAUCUAGAUGAAUCAUCUAAAUGAAUCUUAUGUUUGUUUCUUUGUUUUCAUUUUCAUUCAAAUGAGUUUAGUAAACAAAUUACCAAAAUACCCUUGUAUUGUUUUAAUCAUAUGUUUGAUAUUAAUUUUAACUAUAUUACAUUUAAUUAUUUAGUUUAAUAUAUUUACAUUAAAAUUAUUUCAAAAUUAACGAGUUUUUUUUUUGCGGUUUGGACGGAAAAAAAAAAGAUUUUUUGGUUUUAGCGAGAAAACACAUUUUUCGGUUUUGGCGGGAAAACAAGAUUUUUGGUUCUGGCGGGAAAACGAGAAACUUGGUUUUGGCGGGAAAAUACAAAUUUUUGGUUUUGGCGAGAAAACAUGUUUUUGCGGUUUUAGCGGAAAGAGACGUUUUUGGCGGGAAAACGCGUUUUUUGCGGUUUUGGAGGAAACACGUUUUUGCGAUUUUCACGGAAAAAUGAAAUUUUUUGGUUUUGGCGAGAAAACGAGAUCUUUCGUUAUUGGCGGGAAAACGCGUUUUUGCGGCUUUGGCGGGAAAACACGUUUUUGCGGCUUUGGCGGGAAAACACGUUUUUCGGUUUUGGCGGAACAACGCAUUAUUACGGUUUUGGUGGAUAACGCACUUUUUGCGGUUUUGGAGGAAACACGUUUUUGCGAUUUUCACGGAAAAACAAAUUUUUUCGGUUUUGGCGAGAAAACGAGAUCUUUCGUUAUUGGCGGGAAAACGCGUUUUUGCGGCUUUGGCGGGAAAACAUGUUUUUGCGGUUUUGGCGGAAAACCGCAUUUUUACAGUUUUGGCGGAAAAACGCAUUUUUGCGGUUUUGGCGGAAAAAAACACGUUUUUGCAGUUUUGGCGGGAAAAUGCGUUUUGUAAUUUUGGUGGGAAAACACUCUUUUACAGUUUUGGCACGAAAACACGUUUUUGGCGGGAAAACGUGUUUUUGCGGUUUUGGCGGAGAAACACGUUUUUGGCGGGAAACGCGUUUUGUGUUUUUUUUUUUUGCGGUUUUCGCGGGAAAACAAGAUUUUCGGCUUUGUCGGGAAAACGAGAUUUUUCGGUUUUGGCGGGAAAACGAGAUUUUUGAUUUUAGCCGGGAAACACGUUUUUUUGGUUUGGCGGGAAAAUACGUUUUUGCAAUUUUGGCGGGAAAACGUGUUUUUGUGUUUUAGCGGAAAAAUGUGUUUUGAGGUGUUGACGUGAAAACAUGUUUUUGUGAUUUUUGGCAUGAAAACACGUUUUCUGUUUUUGCGAAAAAACACAUUUUUGCAAUUUUGACAGGAAAAUGCGUUUUUGGGGUUUUGGCGUAAAAAAAUAGUUUUAGGUUUUCGUGGAAAAACAUGUUUUUGUAGUUUUGUUAGUUUUCGUAUGAGACAAAAAUGAUAUUAUGUUUAGGUUUGUAAUUUGUGAAUUAUGUUAAGGACAUAAUAGAUAUUAUAUCAUUUUGAAUGAACUAUCUCCAUUCAAAUGAUCCAAAUUGGUUCAAAACUUUAAAAUUAAUCUUAAAUUUCUAAAUGUCAUUCGAAUGAUCCAUUUGAAUGAGUUUCAUUUUAGUGUCUAAACAAACAAAACUUUCAUUUUUACCCAAACAAUUCAUCCAGAUGAAGAAACAAACAGGUCCUUAGUGGUUCUCCAUGAUACAGUCGGAUGCGUGGAAGAACAUGAGAUGUUAUGCGGCGGCAACGGAGUUUUGGAGAAGAGAGACGUACAUGUGGGUUUCAUACUUUCAUUUAAUCAAUACACAAAGCCUUAUUUACUAAAGCCAAUUUGAAUAAGAUUACCAAAAGUCCAAUAAUGAUCCAUCAAAGAACUGAACGGAAAAGAAAUACCUUUACAAAUGACCGAAGCCCAUUAUUUAAAGGUUAAAUGAAACGCAUAGUAUAAGAAACUAGACACGUGUCGCCCUCUGGUGCAUAGAUUUUCUGAUCUGAAAUCCUAGGUGGCAGCACACUAGAAAUGAAGAAACCGUACGUCAUAUAUAUAGAAGAUUCCACCCGUCCACAAUAAAAUUCCUUUCACAUAGACGAAAAACAUCCAUAAUAAUCGACCGUCGAUUUUGCAUUGUAUCAUUAGGAAGGAAGUUCAUACAUCAAUUACUAAUACAUGAGAAAAACGUAACCUAUGAUUUUACCCUUAGCCCGACUGAAACACAUAUUCAGUCCACGUAAUUUAACUUCACAAACAUGGAACUUCAUACGAAUUCAGUCCACAAACGUAUUUAAUAUUGCGUUUCAGCAAGCCCUUUCUCAAAAAAAUGAUUAUUAUGUUUCAUUAAACUUAUCUUUCAAAACAUUUUUUUUCUAAAAAAUAGAUCCUUUUAAAGCGGAUGGGGUAUAUUUUAUUGUGAUUCAUUAAUAUUUUAUUUAAAAAUCAAUUUAACAAAUUAAUAAUUUGUCAAAUUCUUUUACUGUUGAAACUUAACUGGAUUUAAAAGGACAUUAGGGAAUUCGAAUAAUAGUUAUACUGAACUGAUAAUCCUGAAUUUGGAUCUUAAUAUAUUGAAAUUCUAUGAUAUCUAACCAACUUCUAUAAAAAAUAUGCAAACAUUAUUUUGGUUUAAAAUAAAACAAAAAACAAAAUAUUUAAUACAAUCGAUAAUGCUCUCCAGGAUACGCUCCUGGCUUUGCUCCGACGGAUUGAUUGCAGAAUUUCACGUGAGCUUGUUUCAUCAAUCGGUAGGGACUCAGUUCCAAAAUACUUUCUCUUAAAAGUAUAGAUCUGGAUCAAAUUAAUAUAGCCUUGAAACUUCUAGUAAUAAAAUCCAGUUGACUAAAGUUAAAUAUUAUUUCAUAUGUUUCAUAGCUCUUCGAUGCUCAGUUUAAAAGAUAAGGGAAUAAUAAGGAUUAGAAAAACAGAAGAACAAGUGGGGAUUUUCAAUUUGUUUUAGAGUUUCAAUGAAAAACUAAUAAUAUUUUUUAAUUUAUUUUUCUAUUUGGUUGAAAUGUAGUUAGGUGUAUGGGUAAUAAUGUUUUUCUAAUCAUUAUAGUAUUUGAUAUUAUUUUCUUAAUCUUUUAAACUGAGCAUUGAAAAGCAAUGGAAAAAAUUCCAAAUAGUUAGCACAUACAAAAAUAGAUAAUUCGUAUAUUAAAAAAACCAUAAUUUUAUGUAGAACCGGUUAUACCGGUUUGGAUUCCGCCCUUGUAUGUUUCUCAGUUUUAUAAAUCAAAUUCAGAUGGAAAAAAAAUGUAGAGCCGGUAUAACCUUUUAUUAGUAUAUCUUCAUCACAAAUGGAGUAUACUGUUACGUACAUAAAAACAAAAUAUAAGCCCAAAGACCGAACAGCCGAACACCAAAGUAGCCAUAAAUCUUGGAGGAAAACGUGAUGAGUUCACGAUCAUAUUUAUUUUUCAGGCAUAUUUCUACAUUAUCUAUAAAAAGCAAAGAGAAUCAUGCCAACAACAAUUAUGAUUAGUCGACUUUGUAAAUGUGAUGAUACAUAUUCAAGUUAUCCAAUUUAAACAUCUUUAACAAUUAUGGCUAUAAUUAUGUUGUAUCUAUAACGAGAGUCGGAGACGUUAGACCAAAGUAUCCAAAGAUAGGUUUAACUUGAAAAUAACAAUUAUUGAUAGGGGUUCCACCAAUAUCAUUCGAGUCUAUCAUGUUUCCCAUACUUUUGCAGGUAACACGAACAUGUAACGUGACAAAAUUUUGUUUUCCUCAACGGUAACAAUUUAAUUUACCUAUUCUAUUCGUGAAUCGAUUAGACGUUUGAAACUAAAUUAUAUUGGACAUAGAAAAAAAAAACAAAAACAAUACAGACAACCGGCAAAAAAAAGAGUCCAGCGUAAUUUGUUUAGCUGUUUAGAGAAAAACUGUUAUCAUCAAUUAUGAUAGAUUCAAAUUUGAAUAUAGUAUAGCUUGCUGGGGAAUGAAGGACUUUUGUAUUACAUAGUUCUCAAAUGUGUUAUGAGCAUCAGUAGUUAAUUGUAGAUGAGCUGUGUAGGAUGUUUAGGGGAAACGAAAAAGAGUGUAGCUUAAGAGGGUAGCUUUAGACUGAAUUUUUGUGUGUAUAUAUUGCAUCUAAUGGAAAAAAAUUAGAAUUAAUUAUAAACUGUUCUAUAGAAAAACGUAUGAAUUAAGAAUUAGUCAGUGUCAACUUCUUUAUAACAUCAAAGAGCUUUGAUUUCUCUAGAUGGUAAUAAAUUAGUAACAAAUAUAGUGGCAAACUAACAAAAAAUGAACAAAUACUCUUUUGGUUAAAAAAGGAUCCAUGUUUUAAAACAAAAUUUGCUUCAAAAAAAUAUAUUUUACAUUUUAAUUCAAUUUUUAUUAAAUAAUAAUGACAAUUUGUAAGCUCCUUAAAAAUAAUUAUAUUUAUUAAAUUGUGAUUGGCUAAAAGUUGUAGAAAAUAGUUAAUCAUAAAAAAAAAUUAUAAUUAAAACUGCAAGAUGAUUUUGUGUCAAAAAUCUAAAAGAUAUUCUCUUAAUGAGUAUGAUAUAACUAAAAUUGCAGUAGUAUAAUUGAUUUCGAUAGAAUUUCAUUUAUUAAUUAGAAAACUGAAUUAUUUCACGACACUGAGACUUGUCCUAUAAAUACAACAUUUCCUCCUCUUAACUUGUAUCACAAAGCUAAAUACGAAAGAAACAUGGGGUUCUUGGGUAAGAGUAUAUUGUCGAGUCUCCUUGCAAUAUGGUUCUUCACUUCCUGUGCUUUCACUGAAGAAGUGAACCAUGUGAACCAAACGCCUUCCUCUGCUCCUGCUCCAUCUCCUUACCACCACGGCCACCACCACCCACAUCCUCCCCAUCACCACCACCCUCACCCUCACCCACCGGCAAAAGCCCCUGUCAAGCCGCCGGUUUCUCCACCUUCUAAACCUCCGGUUAAGCCUCCAGUUUACCCCCCAACCAAAUCCCCGGUUAAGCCCCCAACUAAACCUCCGGUUAAGCCACCAGUUUCCCCACCAGCAAAACCUCCUGUUAAACCUCCGGUUUACCCUCCGACCAAAGCUCCAGUUAAGCCCCCAGUCAAACCUCCGGUUAAGCCACCAGUUUCACCACCGGCCAAACCUCCAAUAAAGCCACCAGUUUCACCACCGGCCAAACCUCCGGUUAAGCCCCCGGUUUACCCUCCGACCAAAGCCCCUGUUAAGCCCCCGACCAAAGCCCCGGCUAAGCCUCCGGUCUCUCCUCCAGCCAAACCACCAGUAUCCCCUCCAGCUAAGCCACCGGUGAAGCCACCGGUUUACCCGCCAAAAUUCAACAGAAGCCUAAUCGCGGUUCAGGGUACG
rnacentral:lncRNA from 1 species